rnacentral:lncRNA from 1 species
UUCCUCUGCAUGCCACAAGCAGCAUAGCACCAAUAGGAACAAACAUCACAACCAACCCAACUGCUAGUAUUGUUAGCACAAUUAAAAUUCAGUGCAUUUUCCAUAUCCAAUUAAACCAACUACAUUAGAUUAGUUUCAGUCUGUAUUUGCCAUAUCCAACUAAACCUAGUCCAUACAGUUGACCACCUUCAACAAGGCAUAAAAUUAAUGUGCUUACACAAUCAAGUAAUGUGUAGCCUUAAAAGUAGCCCAAACCGUAGAAUUCAGGUAGCAUCCUAACUAGAGAUGGUAGCAGCUCAUUAAUGCCUGUGAAUAGCAAAAAUAUUCCUAAAAUUCUGAAUGCAAACCUUAAAUUGUGGGUAAAAUUAUAAGAUUAUCUGCUUUCUCUUUUACCUUUUGGAAUUUGAAAUGACAACUUUGUAUUAUGUAUUGCAAGCAGGGAAAAUAUGAAAGAUAGCACAUUUACCCAAAAUAGCCAAAGUCUUCAAAAACUAACCUUCAACCAAAAAGCUUCGCUAGCAAACCCCUGGCAAUUGACUCAAUGCAUAUCCCCAAAAAAAUGGUGGUUGAACUAAUCCAGCUACUGAUGAAUUCCACCCAAACUGAUGUGACAUAAGAAUUAUAGCAACACUCAAGUUCACCUAACCCAUUUAACAAGCUUAACAAAAUUAGUUCGACCUAAAUAUAAAACCCAAGUCCACCCAAGUGAUUGCUGUUUCUACUACAUAAGCCCAAAAAUCUAUAAUUCAAAACUAUAAACCCAAAAAACUAUAAUUAAAAACUAUGGAUGAAGAGUUUGGGAAUUUAAUUUCAAGACAACAACAAAUCCCCAAAAGAAAAAGAGAGAUGAAGCACAUAAAUGAAGAACCCACCUAAAUUUCCCCUUUCAUACUUGCCACUGGUCUUUGAUUGAAGGAGAGUUAAAGCAUCGAAGCAGAGAAAGCGUAAUCCCUUGUAUUUUGUAUGUUUAAGGAAAACAAAAAAAUAGUAAAAAAUAUGACAUAGCAUGAGUAUCCCAUUUAGGUAAAUAAGUUUCAAACUUUCCUUAAUGAUGUUAAAAUACCCUUCCAUUGGGAAAAAAAAAAAAAGCCCUAGUUUCCUUCUAUUUUUGGCCUUUUUGUUUUUAUUUUCCCCAAUUCUCAAUGAUGGUGCAGGUGUGAUCUAUUUUUCUACUGUGAGAUGAUAACGACAAAGUCCUGACCAUCAGAUGAUAUAAACUUGCUACUUCACUGAUGUAGCUUUAAGAAAGCACUGAAAUUGAUUACGAUUCAAGACCACAUGAUAGUUAAAGAUUUCAUGUUAUGCUUCAUAUAAUUUUUCUGAAAAAAAAAAAAAAAAGAAAAAGGUAAACUUACACUUUCAGCCAGUUAUAGAAGUUCAUUUACCUUGACGAUCUGGAACUGCUGCGGCAGCAGCAAUAGCAUGUAGUAAGUAGCAAAGGGAUGCAAAUCUCUAGCUUCAUAACAUCAUAUUGAAUUCAAACUCUGUAAUUUAGCUUGAAAAGGUAGCACAUAAUUAAUUUGAGGGAAAAAAAAAUUACAUUUGUCACAACCUAGACUUGAAAACCCAAUAUUUCUCUGAAAACCCUUUCUACUGGUGACAAAGAGACACUUGAAACAUCCAUAAUCUGCAGGUUCAAAAAUGUCACAUCAAGUUAAGGCUGAAUUUUCAUGAAAGUUCCAGAAAAUGUGCAAAAUACUGUCGUAAUUCUAAAAUGCAUAAUGAACAUAGGCAAAAAUAGAACCUUUUUAUGGGAGAGGGGACCUUACUUUCACAUUCCAACUGCUCUUAGGGAUCCUAAGAAAAGCAUCAACUGAAACCUUGAUCAAGAUAAUGCACAGGUUAUAAGCCAAAGCAAUUUCGAACACAAGUGGUUCAGAUGAAUAUUUUGGGAAGGUGCAUGCAAAUUAGAAAUCACCUACUAUCUAAAAAGAAAAUUAGGUAAUAAUAAAACAAAACACCAAGUAAAACACCACAAUGUUUGCAUACUUUACAUUACUUUAAGAGCCAAAACGAAAUUUAAAAAAAAAAAAAAAAGUAGGGAAAUUUCAGAAAAGAAAAACAAAAUUAUCUCUCUCAAUCAGAGGAGAAAAAUACAAUAGUGAGUUGAGAAAAAUGAAGGAGAAAAUAAUAUGAUGAGAGAGUGUUCGGAAACAAAAUGUGAAAGAAAAGCAUGAAGGAAAAUUUGAAAGAUUCAAAGUUGAAAGCAUUUCGUUUUCUUUUUUUUUUUUUUUCUAAAUUACCAAGAUUUAAAAGUGAUGACAAAUUGAAUCUCAGGAUGACUUACUAAAGCUUUGGAACUGAAUUGCCUGAACUUUAAAUAAUAUCAGAAAUUUGCGAACUUGCACCUCCUCAAAAGAAACGAAACCAUUUCAGUCUUUUAGGCUCUGGUUCUUCCACUUCAUCAGAGCUAAAACGUCGUCUGUGCCUAGGUGUCAUUGUAGUCGUAGGAUCAUCAAGGCCUUCCUCAUCAUUAGCUCUGUAUUUGUGCUGGACGCAACCUCUUUGUCAUUGGAUCUGACAGCAUCCUCAUAUAAUACAUUGACACCACAUUUUUGCACUAUGAUAUGCUCAAUAUUGGAAUCAAAAUCCUGAGCUGUAACGUAGAAUUCAAUGGAGGCCUCAUCAAAAUGGUUAUUUAUGGAUUCAUUGAUUUCCCUUCCAAAACCACUACCAAAAAGGAUCACAUGAUUCGAAUCAAAGCUUGGACAGAAAGGGGCAUUCCAAUUCCAAUGAUGAGUAAGUUCGAGAGGAUCACGGUCAAGGCGGUCAAGGCGCUCGGUUGUUAAUAGAUAUUGGCAACUACCGCCGAAGUGUUUGAAUUUAUGAGGGCCCUUAAAAUUAACCACAAUGCAUAGAAGAAAGCCCAAAAAUCUUUUACUAGAACAAGCUGGACCCAACUUGACAGUUAUUGAAGAAUUUUUACUCCGAUUCUUGAAUGUCUUUGGAAUUUUACUUCCAGGGAAACAAGAAAGGAAACCAUUACUAUAACGAUAAAAAUUAUUAGCAGCAACUUCAGAAGAUUUCAUCGCAAACACCUGUGCCGUACAUUGAGCUAUAAGCUGUGCAUUAGCCACAAUGUUGUUGACUGCAUCCCCGUCCAGAUUGAAGCAAUUAUUGAAUACAAACUCACUGUUGCCAGAUAAUAAAAAUGUCCCAGCUUCCAUAAAAUGCGCAUGUUCCCACUGGGAAACCCUCUUUAAAGAUCUGCAGUUUCCUGCUACUAAAAAAUGUAAACAUGGUGGAAGUUCUGGCAAUGAUUCGAGGUUCCCACAAUCAGAUAAAUAUAGAUACUGUAAAUUAGAAAGUUGUUUGAUACUCUUAGGAAUUUCCACUAUAUCUGAUCCAGAUAGAUUCAAUACUUUCAAAGGGACAAACCGAAAUAUAGUCGAGAAUAACUCUGUUAUGGCUGUUUUACUUAAACCAAGAUAUUUUAGACGCUUAGUCUCUAAUAUUUCUGGGAAACACUCUAAGUUUGAACAGCCACAGAGACCUAGUGAUACAAGAGAUUUUAACUUACAAAUGCUGGUUGGAACGCUUUUAAGCCUUGUGCAGCCAUACAUGUUGAAAGAAGUAAGGUUUUUAAGCCUUGAGAUUGAUGAAGGCACUUCUUUUAUUGGAGUGUAACCCAAAACUAAGAGUUCUAUGUUCUCCGGAACAAUCGGAAAAUUUGUGAUGUUUGGGCAACUUUGGAGACUGAUUUCUCUAAGGGCAUGCAACUGAAUAGUAGUGCUUGGAAGAUUAUGAAUUCGGCCACCACUCAUAUCCAAACGAACAAGUUGAUGGAGAAACCCGAUUGACUCCGGAAUUUCUUCUAUUGCAGUGCAUGUUAAAGUCAACUCUUCGAUAUGCUGUGGCAGCUCAGGAAAUUUCUUCAAAUUUUUUAAACCAUAACCGAGUAGGCUAAAGCAAAGAGAUGUCAAAUGAACCAUGGAUGGGAGUUCAACCAAGCUUUCGCACCCACUAAUUUUCAGUUGUUCAAUAUUUUUGGAUGCUGACAAACUUGGGAUCCUGAUUAAAUUCUUGCAAUCUGAAAGAUCAAGCACUCUUAAAUUCUCAAGAUUCUGUGCAAUGAAAGCGAAGAAACAAUAUGAGAUUAGUUUAAACUUUAAAGCCUCUAAACUUAUAGGGUACUACAAAAAUAAAAUUUAAAAACAAUAAAUAUUUUUUUUUAUGAAAAUAAAAUGUUAAAGAAUACCUGGUCUCCAUUCCAAAGUAGUUCAAAAUUGCGACCACUUAAUCUUAAUUCAACAAGAUUCUUCGGACUAAAAUUCGACGGUAUAGAUUUCAGCAUGCAAUUCUCCCAAUGAAAAUACCUUAACUCAUCAGGAAGAGAUUUAAGACCUUUGUGCGAAGGAACCAACAUACCUCCCUUCCCAGAAAAAGUAGGAUCAUAGAAUUUGAUAAUUCUAAGAUUAGGCAUCCUUGCGAAAGCACGUGGAUGUAACUGUACUUCAUUAUUAAUUUGAGACAGGUCUAAUAAUAUCCCCUCCACUGAUUUCGUCCCCUAUAAUCAACAGCAAACAAUAAUUUACCGUAAUGCAUCAAACAUUUAUCAAGUCAAGAUGAGCAAGAAAAAAAAAAGAAAAGUUAGUUCAGUUAGCUCUUACCUUGCCCUUCUUUAACACUUUACAAACAUCAUCUGAAUUCCAUAAUCUACUACAUUCUUCUGCCCAUCGAGAUUCUGAACUGAUAAUUAUCCUACCCAUCUCUUGUAGCAAAUCAUGCAUGCCAAGCUUGUUCUCUUUUGUAUCAUCUAAGAGGCAUUUAUCAACAAGGUUGGUAAUUGCCCAACCAGCAGUCCCAUUAUAGCAACCGUCUAGUAUUUUUGUUACACUAUCUCUACCACACCCUUUAAAGAAUAUUGCGAUAUCAAGAAAUAUCUUCUUCUCUACAUCUUCCAGCCCAUCAAAGCUAAUCUUCAGCACAUCGUGAAUUUUCGGAUCGGAAUGUUGCUUUAAUUUAUUCAAUGCACUUUCCCAAUAUGCUUUGUUCUUCUCACAAACAGUAGAACCCAAGACUUUAAGAGCUAGCGGAACGCCUUUAGCAUAUUCCAAAAACUUAUUUGAUACAUCCUUAUAAUCAUCAACAAGGCCGUUUUGCUUGAAGGCAUGCAGCGAAAAAAGCUUAAUGGAGUCAUUGUAACCUAAUCCCUUAGCCUUGUACGUUUCGUCAACUGAUCCAUUUAUAAGGACUUGUUUGUUUCUGGAUGUUAUAAUGAUUCUACUACCAGAACCAAAGUGGUCAUGGCUAAUUUCUAAUUUUUCUAAUUGGUCCCAAUCAUUGACAUCAUCAAGGACAAGAAGAACUUUCUUACGACGGAGUCUAUCCUUAAUGAGAAAGGGCAUUCUAGGAGUACCGAUAUGGAGGCCGUGCUGGUUUAAUAAUUGGGAAAGAAGUUGAUCCCGCAGAGUGAUUGCAUUUGCAACAGGUGUUUCUAACUUCUCUCUAACAUCUGCCAAGAAGUAAUAACUUUCAAAUUGACCACGGACUUCAUCAUAUAUAGCUUGAGCAAGAGUUGUUUUGCCUAUACCAGGCAUUCCCCAUAUCCAAUAAUCGAAAUCUCCCUCCAAAUGAAACCAGUGAUUUGAUUUGCUCCCAUACGAGGAAAUAUUCCCAUGAGUCUUCGCAAUCACCUUUAGACAACCGAUCCAACUUGUUUACAAUAUCUUUAACAAUAUCCUCAAUGACUGUGGGCUCAGGCCUAUCGAAUAACCAAAAAUAAAGAAAUGAGUUAAGCCUAAGGUAAUGAAGAUUAUAUGAACAAAACUUACGCUUCUUAAGGGAAAUUUUUUAAAACAAAAAAUUCAAAAGAAAAUUAACCAACUUAGUGCAAGAAGCUUAGAGUAAGAAAAACAAACACUUACUUAUCUCCAGCAAUGUGCCACCCACUUAAACCGGCAGCUUUAGUCAAAGCGAGUCUCCACCCCUUAACCUUGUCUAUCCUGUUUCUUUCAUGGUCAACAAAAGCUUCUUCAAAACUCCCUUUUAGUUUUCGUAUAUCGGAUGGGUUAACAUGGUAGAAAAUGGGUACCACAAGUUGUCCUCGUGAAUCCCUGCAUUCCAUUAUCUUGGAGAGUUCAUCUAAGCACCAUGAUGAAGUAGCAUACUUCUGAGAAAAAACUAUUACGGAAAUCAUUGAUUUUUCGAUUGCUUCCAACAGUGCGGAAGAAAUUUCCUCUCCCCUUGGAAGUUCUUUGAAAUCAGCAUAAGCUCCAAUCCCUUUUCCUUUCAAAGCUUCAUAUAGGUGACUGAGGAAGGUAUUGCGUGUGUCUUCACCUCUAAAACUCAGGAAAACAUGAUGCUUUGCUUGAGUUAAGGAAGCAGAAGCAGAGGAAGAGGAAGCCAUAACAGAGAACAAGAAGGUUUUGUGAUGUUGAGUCUGUAACACAGUAGGAAAAAAAAGUGAAUAAUGAACGCAACUAAAAAGACUCCAAGGUGAAAAAGAAAGAGAAGCAACGCGGAACCAUCAUAUGGCAAAGGAGUCAAGCAAAAGGAGAAUUACAGAUUGAUGCAAUGCAAUGAGAAUAUUGAAUAAUUGUGAACACAGUAAAAGCAGUUAUCAAUAAGCAGUGAUUCAAUCGUCCGUAUCAUUUUUUCAAUUAAAUGAUUUUGAGUUCAAAUUUUAUCGAUAAUUAAAAAUAUAAAUAAUAUAUUAAUAUUUAUAAAUUAUUUAAAUUAAAUUAAAAUAAAACUCAAAUAAUUUAAUUGAAUUUGAAUUAAAAUAAUUUGAUUCAUCGAUCGAGUUAAAUUAAAAUAUUUUUAUAUUCGAUUCGAAUGGUUAUUGAGUUUGAUUAAAUUUUUAUAUUUAAAUAUAUUUUUAUUAUUUUAAUUAAUAAAAUAUCUUAAAUUUUAAUUCGAAUUUAAGCAUAAAUAAUUAAAUUUUUUAUCUAAUAUAAAAAUUAAAUUUAUUUUUAUAUGUUAAUCGAAUUUAAUCGAAUGAACUCGAGUAACUUAAUUUUUAUCUCGAAUUAAAUUUGAAUUAAAAAAAUAAAAUUUAAUUGAGUUCGAAUCAAGUAUUAAGUUUUAAAUUUCGAAUUGAAUUCGAAUUCGAGUUCAAGUUUAAUAUUAUAUCAAUUCGAACUCGAUCGAUUAUAUUUUAUUGAUAAUUAUUUAUUGAGAUUAUUUUAAAUAUUUAACUUAUAAUUAUUUAUUUUAAAUUAUUAAAUAUGAUAUAUUUUAUUAUAACGGAUUAAAUAAUUUAUUUAUUUUCGAAUUUUUGUUAAAAAAGAGUAAAAGCAGUUUCCCUUUUAUCAAUUUUAUAAGUCUGUUCUUUUUUCAAUAAAUUUUUUAUGUAUGACAGUGAGUAAAUAUUCUCGGUCACCGCAAGCAACGAGGAAUGUACAUUAAAAAAGUAAAGCAAAUUGUAAAAUGGUCUUUGGAUUGCCCAUUUGGUGGGUGUACGGAGUGACAGAAGAAAGACAAGCAACGCGGAAUCGUACGCUAAAAGAGUAAAGCAGCAAAAUUGUAAAAUUAUCAUCUGGAUUUCGUUUGGUAGGGUGCAAAUGUAAUAUGUUCAAAAUUCAAUUAAAUCUUAAAACCUUAAAAUUGCUUAUAUCGAGAAUAUUAGUAUAUAACUUAUGAGUAUAAAUCAUUAAAGUUAUCAGUGGGAUGGGUUUUUUUCUUAAAACCACAGAUUUUUUAUAUAAAUCACAUGUUUUUAAAAAUCACAAAGUUAAAGAUUAGUUUUUAAAGUAUAUUUAUAAAAAUUAAUAAACUAUUAAUUAUUUCACUCGUAAGAUUUAAAUACUUCCAUCAUUAAGUAUAAAUUAAUAAUCAAUUAGUUAUUUUAUUUUUUUUUAUUUUAUAAAGAGACAUGAAAAAUUAAAUUAAAAACUAAUUUAAAAGGUAUGUUGUUUAUAUUCUACAAAACAUUUUGUAGUUAAAAUAAUGGUUAUUAUUGUCAAGAGUGACAUGUGCGUGCGAAGUGAGGUAUAUGGCUCAUUAUUUUUUUAAAAAAAUUAUUUUAUAACACAUUUUAUUUUUUAUAAAUUAAUUUUUUUUAAUUUAUACUAAAAAAUAUAUAUUAUAAUUAUAAUUUUAUUUGUUAAAUUAAAAAAAUCUCAUACCAAUGUAUUUAAUAAUUUUUUUAUUUUAAUCUCUUAUUAGAAAAAUAAAAAUCUCACUUAUCAUAUGUCUCGAAUAUAUAAAUAAUUAUUUUGUAUUACGGGAAGAACUAAUAAAUAAUAAUCCAUCAUGUCCUAAAUUUAUGCAAUUAAAAAUACCUAUAGUAUCCAUUUAAAGUGAUUUUUAUAAAUUAAAAAACUUUAAAAAUUUUUUAUUUCAAUUGAAAGGUUAUGACUCAAGCUAUACUUUCUUUUUUUUGCUAUUUAAUUUCUGUUUUUUUUUUUUGUAAAAUAUUUCAGUCAAUAUAUUUUAUAAAAGAGACGUGUAAAAAUUAAAAUAAAAAAACCAAUUUAAAAAAAUAUGUUACCUAUAUUGCACAAAACAUUUUGUGAUUAAAAUAAUGGUUAUUAUUAUUAAGAAUGAUAGGUGCAUGCGAUAGGAGGUAUCAAGGCUCAUUAUUUUUAGAAGAAAUUAUUUGAUAUAAUAAUAAUGAAAUUUUUUUAAUUUUAUAAGAUUAAGAUGGUAAUAUAUUUUUUAUUUUUUUAAAUUAAUUUUUAAAAUUUUUAAAUAUAUAUUAAAAAAACAUAUGUCAUUAUUUUAAUUUUAUUCAUAAAAUUAAAAAAUUUUAUCAUUAAUAUAUUUAAUAAUUUAUCUAUUUUUAAUCUCCUGUUAAAAAAGAAAAAAUAAAAAUAGUUUCCCUUUUAUCAAUUUUAUAACUUUCUAUUUCUUGCUUCAAUAAAUACUUUUAUGUAUGUAGGAUAUUCUCAAUAUUGUUGGCCCACUUUAUCAAUUUGUAAUUACCCCAAAGCAAAUUAAAAAAUGUCUUCCGUUAGUUUGGUGGGUACAAAGUGGCAAAAGAAAGAAACAAUGCGGAAUCGUACAACAAACGAGUAAACCAAAAUGUCUUUGGAUUCCAUUUGGUGGGGUACAAUGUGACAAAUCGUCAAAAAGAACGACGAGCAACGCGGAAUCCUACAAUAAAUGAGUAAACGAAAUUGUAAAAUGUCUUUGAAUUCUGUACGGUGGGGUGCCAAUUUACUUUUGUUGAAAAUUCUACAAAGUGAACACCAAUGUUUUAACAUUACCAGUUAGAUUCAUACUACUUGAAAGGACGAAAUAAUUUAUUUUUUUAAAUUUUUAUUUCUGGAUUUCGUUAGGUAGGGUGCAAACGUACCAUGUUAAAAAUUCUACAAAGUGAAAAAGAAAGAGAAGGAACGCGGAACCAUCAUACAUAGCAAAGGAGUCAAGCAAAGGGAGACUUACAAAUUGAUGCAAUGCAAUGAGAAUAUUGAAUAACUAGUUUACUACCAAUGUGUGGAUUAUCUUUAGUUAUUUAAAUAUAUUUAAAAAUAUAAAUUAAUAUUAUUUAAUUAUUCAUGUAUUCAAAAAAUAUAUAAUACAUAUAUUAUAAUUAAGAUAUCAAAUCAUAAUAAAUUGAUUAUAAAUAUCUUUUGAAUAAAAUUAUAUAAAAUGAUAUAUGUGUUUUUCAAUUUUAAAAAAUAAAAGAUUAUAAGGAAAGUUACCAAUAUAAAAAUAUUCAUUUGAAAAUUUUAAAUUAGAAAAUAGAUAUUUUUAGGUGAAAUUUUAAUCAAAUAAGAUUAAUUUUUUAAGUUUUGUAAUAUUUUUAUUAUAAUUUAUUGAGAUUUUUAUUUUUAAGAAAAAUCAUAAAGAAUUAAUUAUAGAUAAUUUAGAUAAGAUUUUAUUUUUAAAAAAUUUGAUAUUUAAAUUAAAGUUAUGUAUAAUAGGUAUUAUUCAUAUGUCAAAAAAAUGUCCAUUUAAGCAUUCAAGUGGUAAAUUUUAUCAUAUAUUCUUUUAUAUAUAUAUAUAUAUAAUUGAUACAAAUUACCAAUAAUAUUUAUGGAAAAAGAAAUAUCAAGGGAGAAAAUUGUUAAAAAAAAGUUUAUAUUACUUUUUUACCCUCAAUACUGUUUAUCGUAACGAAAGAAAGUUGUUUUUUAUUUGCAAGAAUCUAAGCUUUUUUUCAUUUUAACCCUGCUCAUUUGGUUUUUAGGGUCGUCGUUUUUUAAAAAUCUAUUAUUCUUUUUUAAUUUGAUUUUUUUUGUUCAUUCUAAGGUAAUUAUUGUUGGUUUAAAUUGUGGAAUGUAAUAUUUUUUAAAUUUUAAUGAAGAUAAAAGAUACACAUAAAUUUUUAAUAUGAUGUAAGAGAUUUCAUCGAUGAAUUUAUCUUUUAAAAUACAAAAAGAUGCUAUUUUGAAUCUAAACCAAAAAACAAAAAAAAAGAUUUCACAGAUAAAUUUUUUUGGGUUGUGCAAUAUACAUAUAAACUGUACAUGUUGCCAAUCUAACACGUACAAUAUGUUAGUUUUAUAUUUACAUAAUAACUUGACGUAAAAAAAUAAAUAUAUAUGAUUUUAGACAUCAUUUAAUUUUCUAAAAUAUAUAAAAAUAAGUUUUAAACAUAUCAUUAUAAAUUAAUGUUGAAAUAUUGAAUUUUUAUCACCAAAUAUCUUGGAAUCGGAAAUGUACAUAUAACUAGUAUGUACGUAAAUUUAAUGCAAAAUAUAUGUACAAUAAUUCUAGUUAUAUAUGCACUAAUAAAUUUUAAAAGAUCAACAUUGUUAAUUUCAAUAGAAAAAAAGGUAUGCAUUGGAGAAAAAAUACGGGGGAAGUUAGGAGCUUUAAAAUUGCUUAAUUAUUCUUUUUUGGCCUUACACCUUUAUUUGAAUUAUCAUUUUUAAUUAUAUUAUAUUCAAUUAAUCUUAAAUUUUAAAAUUGCUUAUCUUGUGAUAUUAGUUGCAAAUAAUGAGUAUACAUAAUUAGCUAAGUUAUCAGGUGAUUUUUUUUUCCUUAAAAUUUACUGUUUUUUUGGAAAAAAUUAUUUGAUAUAUUGGUAAUAAGAUUUAUUAAUUUUACAAGCAAAAUUAAAAGGAUAAUGUAUAUUUUAUUUUUUAAUUAAUCUUUUUUAUUUUUUAAAUAUAUAUUAAAAUACAUAUAUCACCUUUUUUAUUUUUUUAUGAAAUUUAAAAAAUUUAUCAUCAAUAUAUUUAAUAAUUUUUUAUUUUUAAUCCCUUGUUGAAAAAGUAAAAGUAAUCGCAGUUUCCCUUAACUUUCUAUUUCCUUGUUCAAUAAAUAAUUUUGCGUACGACUGUAAGUACUCAAUAUUCUUGGUCCACCGCAACAAUUUGCAACUACCCCUCGAGCAAAUUGGAAAAUGUCCUAGAUUCCGUUUGGUGGGGUACAAAGUGAGCAACGCGGAAUCGUACACUAAAGGAGUAAAGCAAAUUGUAAAAUGUCUUUGGAUUUCGUUUGGAGGGGGUGCAAAUGUACUUCGUUGAAAAUUCUACGAAGUGAAAAAAGAAAGAGAAGGAACGCGGAACCAUUAUCAUAGAAAGUAGUCAACCAAAGGGAGACUUAUAAAUUGAUACAAUGCAAAGAGAAUAUUGAAUAAUUGUAACACAUUACUAAUAUUAUUUAUGGAAAAAGAAAUAUCAAGAGAAAUUUGUAUAAAAAGGAAGGUUGUAUUACUUUUUUACCCUCACCACUAUCUAACUUGAAGAACAAAUGUGUUUUUAUUUCCAAGAACCUAACCCUUUUUUUCAAUGUAAACAUGUUCAUUUAUUUUUUAAGGUUGCCGUCUUUUUAUAAAAUCUAUUAUACCUUUUGCAUUUGAUUUUUUUUUUCAUUAUAAGGUAAUUAUUAAUGAUUUGAAUCGUAGAACGUAAUUGUUUUUUUAAAUUUUAAUGAAGAUAAAAAUUUACACUUAAACUUUCAGUUUAGUGUAAAGGAUUUCAUUGAUGAAUUUAUCUUCUAAAAUACAAAAGAUGCUAUCCUUCGACCUUAACAAAAAAUGGAUUUCAUUGAGUUGUGAAAUAUAAAUAUAAACUUAAUAAUAUGUGCAUGCUGUUAAACUGAUAUGAACAAUAUGCCAGAUUUAUAUGUACAUAAUAAACUUGAUGUAAAAAAAAUUGUGCAUGAUUUUAGACAUCAUUUAAUCUUCUGAGAUCAUCUUUGAUUAAAAUAAUGAUGUAUAAAAUAUGAUGAUAAUCAUCUUAAAUUAUACUUAUAUUACAGAUAAAAAAAGAUUAUAACGAGGAUUAUCAUUUUUUAUAUAUAGAAUGAUUCAAUUUUAAAAUUAUAAUAAAAUUUUAAAUUUUAUAAAAUUACGAAAAAAUAAUUUUUAUCAAUAAAUAAUUAUAUCUUAAUAUUUAUGCAUAUCAAAUAUAAGAUAAAAUAAUAUUAUUUAAUAUAAUUUUAUUAUAAUAUUAUUUCAUCUUAUCUUAUCUUAUCAUAAUAAAAAAUUGUAUGUACAAUUGAAUCUAAUUAUAUCUACACCAAUAAAUUAAAAAAUAAAAAGCUCAACGUUGUCGAAAAUACUAAUUACAGUGGAAAGAACGAGAAUGCAUGGGAGAGAAAAAGAUGAAAGAAGGCAGAAGCUUAAAAUCAACUACUUGUAUUAUUGGUUUUGCAUUUUUUUGUCUUAUUAUACCUUUAUUUGAAUUGUCAUUUUUAAUUACAUUAUAUUCAAUUAAUCUUAAAAUUUUAAAUUGCUUGUCUUCUAAUAUUUUUUACAAAUUAUGAGUAUACAUAAUUAACUAAGUUAUUAGAUGAUUUUUUUUCCUUAAAAUCCAUAGUUUUUUGGAUAAAUCAAUUUUAUAAAAUCCAUAAAGUUAAGGAUUAAUUUCUAAAGCAUAUUUAUAAAAAAUUAAUAAAUAAUUAAAUUAUUUCACUUGUAAAGUUUAAACACUCCAUUAUUAAUAUAAAAUUAAUAAUCUUUAGUUAUCAUAUAUAAUAUUAUUUUAUAACAUAUAUAGAGACUUGAUAAAAUUUAUUUAAAUGGACGUUUAAGUGGAUGGUUUCUCUUUUCAAUAUGUAGAAAAAUCUCUAAAAUUUCUUUUUGUAAUGACGUGUAAAAUAUUUUCUAAUUUUAAGCUAUUUAUCAAAAAAUAUAUUUUUAAAAAUUAUUUAAUUAUCCAAAACUUUUAAAUUUAGUUAGAAGAUCAAUUCAAUUAUUUUUAAAUUGCUAACAAAAAAAUAUAGUUUAAACAUAUUAAUUUUUAAAAAUACAUUUUCAUAUAAUCUAAAUAUAUAUCUUUUUCAAUUCAAAAUUUCAAAUAUAGUGAUAUAUUAUCUUUUAAAAUAGGUUUUCUAAUAAUAUAAAUAUAUGUGUUUUUUAAAUCUAAAAAUCUCAAAUGCAAUGAUAUUAUAAAAUAAUUUUUUUAAUAAUUUAAAUAUAUAUCACAUUAAAUUUGAAAAUUUAAAAUAUAACUUUUAUUUAUUAGAGGUUUCAUUAUAGUCCUUUCUUAUUUGGUUGUUUUUAAAUUUAAAAAGAUCAAAUAUUAUAUACAUUAGAAGAUAACUUAUUAUUUAAUGAUACUCUCAAUGUUUUUUUUUUUUAAUUUUUUUCAACCCUUUUGCUUGAAAAGAAAUAAUUUUUUAACCUGUGAGAUACAAAAGAAUUUUUGUCAUAUUUUUAUAAUUUUUUGGUAUAUGAUUAUAUUUUUUUUAUAAAGAAACAUGCAAAAUUUAAAAUAAAAACAUUAAUUUAAAAAAGUAUGUUGUUUUUAUUUCGCAAAACAUAUUUGUGGUUAAAAUAAUGACUAUUCUCAUUAGGACUGACAGGUGCAUGCGAUGUGAGGAAUCGAUGCUCAUCAAUUUUAGAAAAAAUUAUUGGAUAAAUUAAUAGUAAAAUUUUUUAAUUUUACAAGGAGAUUAAAAAAAGCAAAAGUAAAAGCAGUUUCCCCUUUAUCAAUUUUGGAACUUUCUUUGCCUUUUUCAAUAAAUAUUUUUUAUGUAUGACCAUGACUACUCAAUAUUCUUGGUCCACCGCAUCAAUUUGUUAUUAACCCUCAAACAAAUUGAAAAAUGUGGAUUCCGUUUGGUGGAGUGCAAAGUGACAAAAGAAAGACAAGCAACGCGGAACCGUAUAAUAAAAUAGUAAAGCAAAUUGUAAAAUGUCUUUGGAUUUCGUUUGGUGGGCGAGGGGGGUGGAAACGUACUCUGUAGAAAAUUUUACAAAAGUGAAAAAGAAAGAGAAGGAACGCAGAACCAUCAUACAUAACAAAAGAGUCAAGCAAAGGGAGAAUUACAAAUUGCUGCAAUGCAUUGAGAAUAUUGAAUAAUUGUAACAUUGCUAAUAAUAUUUAUGGAAAAGAGAUAUAUCAAGUGAGAAAAUUGUAAAAAAAAAGAAGGGAAAUUUAUAUUACUUUUUUACCCUCUCCACUAACUAGCAUAAAAAACAAACGUGUUUUUGUUUCUAAGAACCUAACCCCUUUUUUCAAUCUAACCCUGCUCAUUUAUUUUUUUAAGGUUGCCAUUUUUUUAAUAAAAUCUCUUAUAUGCAUAAAAUUUUUUAAAUUCGUAUUUUUUUUUAUUUAAUGGGUACCAACAAUUCUGUAACUCUUUAAAAAAAAGUAUAAAGAUAAUUUUUUUUUAGUUUUUUUAUAUUUUUAGUAAUUUUUUAUAAACAUAUUUUUAAAUGAAAAUAUAUUAAAUAACAAGAUGAUUUAAAACUUAUAAAUAUAUAUUUUUAAAUGAAGAUAUAUUAUAUCUAAGUAUGAAUAAAUUCUUAGAGAAUUUAAAACUAAAAAAUCACCGUGAAAGCAAAAAACAAGAUGGAGGAUAAAAAAUUCAGUUGAGACCCAAAUACUAUAAUUAAGAUAAAAAGGAAGCUUGUAUUACUUUUUUACCAUCAUCACUAUCUAACUUGAAGAACACAUGUGUUUUUAUUUCCAAGAACCUAACCCUUUUUUUCAAUGUAAACAUGCUCAUUUAUUUUUUAAGGUUGCCGUCUUUUUAUAAAAUCUAUUAUACCUUUUGCAUUUGAUUUUUUUUUCAUUAAAAGGUAAUUAUUAAUGAUUUGAAUCGUGGAACGUAAUUGUUUUACUAAAUUUUAAUGAAGAUAAAAAUUUACACUUAAACUUUCAGUUUAGUGUAAAGGAUUUCAUUGAUGAAUUUAUCUUCUAAAAUACAAAAGAUGCUAUCCUUCGACCUUAACAAAAAAUGGAUUUCAUUGAGUUGUGAAAUAUAAAUAUAAACUUAAUAAUAUGUACAUGCUGUUAAAUUGAUAUGAACAAUAUGCCAGAUUUAUAUAUACAUAAUAAACUUGAUGUAAAAAAAAUUGUGCAUGAUUUUAGACAUCAUUUAAUCUUCUGAGAUCAUCUUUGAUAAAAAUAAUGAUGUAUAGAAUAUGAUGAUAAUCAUCUUAAAUUAUACUUAUAUUACAGAUAAAAAAAGAUUAUAAAGAGGAUUAUCAUUUUUUUAUAUAGAAUGAUUCAAUUUUAAAAUUAUAAUAAAAUUUUUAAUUUUAUAAAAUUAAAAAAAAUAAUUUUUAUCAAUAAAUAAUUAUAUCUUGAUAUUUAUGCAUAUCAAAUAUAAGAUAAAAUAAUAUUAUUUAAUAUAAUUUUAUUAUAAUAUCAUUUCAUUUUAUCUUAUCUUAUCAUAAUAAAAAAUUGUAUGUAAAAUUAAAUCUAAUUAUAUCUACACCGGUAAAUUAAAAAAUAAAAAGCUCAACUUUGUCGAAAAUACUAAUUACAAUGGAAAGAAUGAGAAUGCAUGGGAGAGAAAAAGACGAAAGAAGGCAGAAGCUUAAAAUCAACUACUUGUAUUAUUGGUUUUGCAUUUUUUUUUUUGUCUUAUUAUACCUUUAUUUGAAUUAUCAUUUUUAAUUACAUUAUAUUCAAUUAAUCUUAAAAUUUUAAAUUGCUUGUCUUCUAAUAUUAGUUACAAAUUAUGAGUAUAUAUAAUUAACUAAGUUAUUAGAUGAUUUUUUUUCCUUAAAAUCCACAGUUUUUGGGAUAAAUCAAUUUUAUAAAAUCCAUAAAGUUAAGGAUUAGUUUCUAAAGUAUAUUUAUAAAAAUUAAUAAAUAAUUAAAUUAUUUCACUUGUAAAGUUUAAACACUCCAUUAUUAAUAUAAAAUUAAUAAUCUUUAGUUAUCAUAUAUAAUAUUAUUUUAUAACAUAUAUAGAGACUUUAUAAAAUUUAUUUAAAUGGAGGUUUAAGUGAAUGGUUUCUCUUUUCAAUAUGUAGAAAAAUCUCUAAAAUUUUUUUUUGUAAUGAUGUGUAAAACACUUUCUAAUUUUAAGCUAUUUAUCAAAAAAUAUAUUUUUAAAAAUUAUUUAAUUAUCCAAAACUUUUAAAUUUAGUUAGAAGAUCAAUUCAAUUAUUUUUAAAUUGCUAACAAAAAAAUAUAGUUUAAACAUAUUAAUUUUUAAAAAUACAUUUUCAUAUAAUCUAAAUAUAUAUCUUUUUCAAUUCAAAAUUUCAAAUAUAGUGAUAUAUUAUCUUUUAAAAUAGGUUUUCUAAUAAUAUAAAUAUAUGUGUUUUUUAAAUCUAAAAAUCUCAAAUGCAAUGAUAUUAUAAAAUAAUUUUUUUAAUAAUUUAAAUAUAUAUCACAUUAAAUUUGAAAAUUUAAAAUAUAACUUUUAUUUAUUAGAGGUUUCAUUAUAGUCCUUUCUUAUUUGGUUGUUUUUAAAUUUAAAAAGAUCAAAUAUUAUAUACAUUAGAAGAUAACUUAUUAUUUAAUGAUACUCUCAAUGUUUUUUUUUUUUAAUUUUUUUCAACCCUUUUGCUUGAAAAGAAAUAAUUUUUUAACCUGUGAGAUACAAAAGAAUUUUUGUCAUAUUUUUAUAAUUUUUUGGUAUAUGAUUAUAUUUUUUUUAUAAAGAAACAUGCAAAAUUUAAAAUAAAAACAUUAAUUUAAAAAAGUAUGUUGUUUUUAUUUCGCAAAACAUAUUUGUGGUUAAAAUAAUGACUAUUCUCAUUAGGACUGACAGGUGCAUGCGAUGUGAGGAAUCGAUGCUCAUCAAUUUUAGAAAAAAUUAUUGGAUAAAUUAAUAGUAAAAUUUUUUAAUUUUACAAGGAGAUUAAAAAAAGCAAAAGUAAAAGCAGUUUCCCCUUUAUCAAUUUUGGAACUUUCUUUGCCUUUUUCAAUAAAUAUUUUUUAUGUAUGACCAUGACUACUCAAUAUUCUUGGUCCACCGCAUCAAUUUGUUAUUAACCCUCAAACAAAUUGAAAAAUGUGGAUUCCGUUUGGUGGAGUGCAAAGUGACAAAAGAAAGACAAGCAACGCGGAACCGUAUAAUAAAAUAGUAAAGCAAAUUGUAAAAUGUCUUUGGAUUUCGUUUGGUGGGCGAGGGGGGUGGAAACGUACUCUGUAGAAAAUUUUACAAAAGUGAAAAAGAAAGAGAAGGAACGCAGAACCAUCAUACAUAACAAAAGAGUCAAGCAAAGGGAGAAUUACAAAUUGCUGCAAUGCAUUGAGAAUAUUGAAUAAUUGUAACAUUGCUAAUAAUAUUUAUGGAAAAGAGAUAUAUCAAGUGAGAAAAUUGUAAAAAAAAAGAAGGGAAAUUUAUAUUACUUUUUUACCCUCUCCACUAACUAGCAUAAAAAACAAACGUGUUUUUGUUUCUAAGAACCUAACCCCUUUUUUCAAUCUAACCCUGCUCAUUUAUUUUUUUAAGGUUGCCAUUUUUUUAAUAAAAUCUCUUAUAUGCAUAAAAUUUUUUAAAUUCGUAUUUUUUUUUAUUUAAUGGGUACCAACAAUUCUGUAACUCUUUAAAAAAAAGUAUAAAGAUAAUUUUUUUUUAGUUUUUUUAUAUUUUUAGUAAUUUUUUAUAAACAUAUUUUUAAAUGAAAAUAUAUUAAAUAACAAGAUGAUUUAAAACUUAUAAAUAUAUAUUUUUAAAUGAAGAUAUAUUAUAUCUAAGUAUGAAUAAAUUCUUAGAGAAUUUAAAACUAAAAAAUCACCGUGAAAGCAAAAAACAAGAUGGAGGAUAAAAAAUUCAGUUGAGACCCAAAUACUAUAAUUAAGAUAAAAAGGAAGCUUGUAUUACUUUUUUACCAUCAUCACUAUCUAACUUGAAGAACACAUGUGUUUUUAUUUCCAAGAACCUAACCCUUUUUUUCAAUGUAAACAUGCUCAUUUAUUUUUUAAGGUUGCCGUCUUUUUAUAAAAUCUAUUAUACCUUUUGCAUUUGAUUUUUUUUUCAUUAAAAGGUAAUUAUUAAUGAUUUGAAUCGUGGAACGUAAUUGUUUUACUAAAUUUUAAUGAAGAUAAAAAUUUACACUUAAACUUUCAGUUUAGUGUAAAGGAUUUCAUUGAUGAAUUUAUCUUCUAAAAUACAAAAGAUGCUAUCCUUCGACCUUAACAAAAAAUGGAUUUCAUUGAGUUGUGAAAUAUAAAUAUAAACUUAAUAAUAUGUACAUGCUGUUAAAUUGAUAUGAACAAUAUGCUAGAUUUAUAUGUACAUAAUAAACUUGAUGUAAAAAAAAUUGUGCAUGAUUUUAGACAUCAUUUAAUCUUCUGAGAUCAUCUUUGAUAAAAAUAAUGAUGUAUAGAAUAUGAUGAUAAUCAUCUUAAAUUAUACUUAUAUUACAGAUAAAAAAAGAUUAUAAAGAGGAUUAUCAUUUUUUUAUAUAGAAUGAUUCAAUUUUAAAAUUAUAAUAAAAUUUUUAAUUUUAUAAAAUUAAAAAAAAUAAUUUUUAUCAAUAAAUAAUUAUAUCUUGAUAUUUAUGCAUAUCAAAUAUAAGAUAAAAUAAUAUUAUUUAAUAUAAUUUUAUUAUAAUAUCAUUUCAUUUUAUCUUAUCUUAUCAUAAUAAAAAAUUGUAUGUAAAAUUAAAUCUAAUUAUAUCUACACCGGUAAAUUAAAAAAUAAAAAGCUCAACUUUGUCGAAAAUACUAAUUACAAUGGAAAGAAUGAGAAUGCAUGGGAGAGAAAAAGACGAAAGAAGGCAGAAGCUUAAAAUCAACUACUUGUAUUAUUGGUUUUGCAUUUUUUUUUUUGUCUUAUUAUACCUUUAUUUGAAUUAUCAUUUUUAAUUACAUUAUAUUCAAUUAAUCUUAAAAUUUUAAAUUGCUUGUCUUCUAAUAUUAGUUACAAAUUAUGAGUAUAUAUAAUUAACUAAGUUAUUAGAUGAUUUUUUUUCCUUAAAAUCCACAGUUUUUGGGAUAAAUCAAUUUUAUAAAAUCCAUAAAGUUAAGGAUUAGUUUCUAAAGUAUAUUUAUAAAAAUUAAUAAAUAAUUAAAUUAUUUCACUUGUAAAGUUUAAACACUCCAUUAUUAAUAUAAAAUUAAUAAUCUUUAGUUAUCAUAUAUAAUAUUAUUUUAUAACAUAUAUAGAGACUUUAUAAAAUUUAUUUAAAUGGAGGUUUAAGUGAAUGGUUUCUCUUUUCAAUAUGUAGAAAAAUCUCUAAAAUUUUUUUUUGUAAUGAUGUGUAAAACACUUUCUAAUUUUAAGCUAUUUAUCAAAAAAUAUAUAUUUAAAAAUUAUUUAAUUAUCUAAAACUUUUAAAUUUAGUUGGAAGAUCAAUUCAAUUAUUUUUAAAUUGCUAACAACAAAAUAUAUUUUAAACAUAUUAAUUUUUAAAAUACAUUUUCAAAUAAUUUAAAUAUAUAUCUUUUUCAAUUCAAAAUUUCAUAUAUAGGGAUAUAUUAUCUUUUAAAAUAGGUUUUCUAACAAUAUAAAUAUAUGCAUUUUUUAAAUCUAAAAAUCUCAAAUGCAGUGAUAUUAUAAAAUAAAUUUUUUAAUAAUUUAAAUAUAUAUCACAUUAAAUUUGAAAUUUUAAAAUAUAACUUUUAUUUUUAUUAGAGAUUUCAUAAUAGUCCUUUCUUAUUUGGUUAUUUUUAAAUUUAAAAGGAUCAAAUAUUAUAUACAUUAGAAGAUAACUUAUUAUUUAAUGAUGCUCUCAAUGUUUUUUUUUCAACCUUUUUUGCUUGAAAAGAAAUAAUUUUUUAACCUGUAAGAUACAAAAAAAUUUUUUGUUAUAUUUUAUAAUUUUUUUAUUUACGAUUAUAUAUUUUUUAUAAAGAAACAUGUAAAAUUUAAAAUAAAAACAUUAAUUUAAAAAAGUAUGUUGUUUAUAUUCCGCAAAACAUAUUCGUGGUUAAAAUAAUGACUAUUCUUAUUAAGACUGACAGGUGCAUGCAAUGUGAGGUAUCGAUGCUCAUUAAUUUUAGAAAAAAUUAUUUGAUAAAUUAAUAGCAAAAUUUUUUAAUUUUACAAGGAGAUUAAAAAAAAAAAAAGUAAAACCAGUUUCCCCUUUAUCAAUUUUGUAACUUUCUUUUCCUUUUUCAAUAAAUAUUUUUAUGUAUGACCAAAACUACUCAAUAUUGUUGGCCCACCGCAUCAAUUUGUAAGUACCCCUCAAACAAAUUGAAAAAUGUGGAUUGCGUUUGGUGGGGUGCAAAGUGACAAAAGAAAACAAGCAACGCGGAAUCGUACAAUAAAAUAGUAAAGCAAAUUGUAAAAUGUCUUUGGAUUUCGUUUGGUGGGCGAGUGGGGGUGGAAACGAAAUUUUAAGAAAAUUUUACAAAGUGAAAAAGAGAAGGAAUGCGGAACCAUCAUACAUAGCAAAGGAGUCAAGCAAAGGGAGACUUACAAAUUUAUGCAAUGCAUUGAGAAUAUUGAAUAAUUGUAACAUUGCUAAUAAUAUUUCUGGAAAAGAGAUAUAUUGAGUGAGAAAAUUGUAAAAAAAAAAAAAGGAAAUUUAUAUUACUUUUUUACCCUCUCCACUAACUAGUAUAAAAAACAAACGUGUUUUUGUUUCUAAGAACUUAACCCCUUUUUUGAAUGUAACCAUGCUCAUUUAUUUUUUUAUGGUUGCCAUUUUUUUUUUUGUAAAAUCUAUUAUAUGCAUAAAAUUUUUUAAAUUCGUAUUUUCUUUAUUUAAUGGGUACUGACAAUUCUGUAACUCUUUAAAAAAAAGUAAAAAGAUAAUUUUUUUUAGUUUUUUUAUAUUUUUCAGUAAUUUUUUAUAAACAUAUUUUUAAAUGAAAAUUUAUUAAAUAACAAGAUGAUUUAAAACUUAUAAAUAUAUAUUUUUAAAUGAAAAUAUAUUAUAUCUAAGUAUGAAUAAAUUCUUAGAGAAUUUAAAACUAAAAAAUCACCAUGAAGGCAAAAAAUAAUAUGCAGGAUAAAAAAUUCAGUUGAGACCCAAAUACUAUAAUUGAGAUAAAUAUUAAAAAAAAAACCAAAAAACAAAAAAAGAAAGGAUGUACAAUAUGCCAAAAUAUAGCAUCAUUAUAUUUAACAAAUAGUGUCUCUUGUUAAAGGACUAAAAAUAAACAAGCAUUUCCUGUAUACAAAAAUAGAGAAUAUGUGAUUAAUGUAUGUUGAUCAGCAUCUUCUUGAAGAUAUGAAGUGAAAUCAUCCCAAUAAACUAAAAUAUGGUGACAAUGGAUUAGAUUUCCUUGAAAUAAACUAAACAAGUUUUGCAUCCAUGAUUAAGGGUUAUUAUUAGUGAAAGGCAAAACGAAAAUCAUGCUUUUUGUGCUUGCAGCUGGCAGAAGAUGGAGAAUUCGAUAUAGUUUAUCAUGGCUGAGAGUUCAAGUACAACCUACAAUAUCCAAAUUUUCUAUUGGACAAUGGUUGAUUCGUGAACACAGAUCAGUGCUACUACAAUGCAACUCCAAGUCGCUUGGAAGAGACUGCAAAUACAUUAGAUCUUUCUACACAUUAACGUAAGCAACUGCUUUAUACUAAUUUUCUAUCUAAUUCUUUUAGUUCUUUUCUUUGGUACGAACCGACGUAUCUAUUUCUAUUCAUUUGUACAUAUUUUUUUUAAAAAAAAUUUAUUGGUGUUAAGCUUCGACUUGAAAGUAUUUUUGAAAACAAAAAAAAAAGAAAACAGUUGAGGUAAAAGUAAGGUAUAUUUUCUGUGUUUACACUCUGACACAUAAGUCAGUAAGAAUCAGGUAGGUAAGAAAGUAGGAAUGAGAGAAAGAAAUAAAUGGAAUGAACCUACCUUAACGGUACUUGUAUCUUUAUAUUUAUAGGCAAGUUGUAGGGAACCAUGAAGAGACAAUAAAGACAAGACCUAGUUAAGGUGAUACUGAUAUUAGUUGCAAAUUAUGAGUAUACAUAAUUAGCAAGUUAUCAGGUGAUUUUUUUUCCUUAAAAUUUACUGUUUUUUUGGAAAAAAUUAUUUGAUAUAUUGGUAAUAAGAUUUAUUAAUUUUACAAGCAAAAUAAAAAGGAUAAUGUAUAUUUUAUUUUUUAAUUAAUCUUUUUUAUUUUUAAAAUAUAUAUUAAAAUACAUAUAUCACCUUUUUAUUUUUUUAUGAAAUUAAAAAAUUUAUCAUCAAUAUAUUUAAUAAUUUUUUAUUUUUAAUCCCUUGUUAAAAAAGUAAAAGUAAUAGCAGUUUCCCUCAACUUUCUAUUUCCUUGUUCAAUAAAUAAUUUUGCGUACGACUGUAAGUACUCAAUAUUCUUGGUCCACCGCAACAAUUUGCAAUGACCCCUCGAGCAAAUUGGAAAAUGUCCUAGAUUCCGUUUGGUGGGGUACAAAGUGAGCAACGCGGAAUCGUACACUAAAGGAGUAAAGCAAAUUGUAAAAUGUCUUUGGAUUUCGUUUGGAGAGGGUGCAAAUAUACUUCGUUGAAAAUUCUACGAAGUGAAAAAAGAAAGAGAAGGAACCAUUAUCAUAGGAAAGUAGUCAACCAAAGGGAGACUUAUAAAUUGAUACAAUGCAAAGAGAAUAUUGAAUAAUUGUAACACAUUACUAAUAUUAUUUAUGGAAAAAGAAAUAUCAAGAGAAAAUUGUAUAAAAAGGAAGCUUGUAUUACUUUUUUACCCUCAUCUCUAUCUAACUUGAAGAACAAAUGUGUUUUUAUUUCCAAGAACCUAACCCUUUUUUUCAAUGUAAACAUGCUCAUUUAUUUUUUAAGGUUGCCGUCUUUUUAUAAAAUCUAUUAUAUCUUUUGCAUUUGAUUUUUUUUUUUCAUUAUAAGGUAAUUAUUAAUGAUUUGAAUCGUGGAACGUAAUUGUUUUUCUAAAUUUUAAUAAAGAUAAAAAUUUACACUUAAACUUUCAAUUUGGUGUAAAGGAUUUCAUUGAUGAAUUUAUCUUUUAAAAUACAAAAGAUGCUAUCCUUCGACCUUAACAAAAAAUGGAUUUCAUUGAGUUGUGAAAUAUAAAUAUAAACUUAAUAAUAUGUGCAUGCUGUUAAACUGAUAUGAACAAUAUGCCAGAUUUAUAUGUACAUAAUAAACUUGAUGUAAAAAAAAUUGUGCAUGAUUUUAGACAUCAUUUAAUCUUCUGAGAUCAUCUUUGAUAAAAAUAAUGAUGUAUAGAAUAUGAUGAUAAUCAUCUUAAAUUAUACUUAUAUUACAGAUAAAAAAAGAUUAUAAAGAGGAUUAUCAUUUUUUUAUAUAGAAUGAUUCAAUUUUAAAAUUAUAAUAAAAUUUUAAAUUUUAUAAAAUUAAGAAAAAAUAAUUUUUAUCAAUAAAUAAUUAUAUCUUAAUAUUUAUACAUAUCAAAUAUAAAAUAAAAUAAUUUUAUUUAAUAUAAUUUUAUUGUAAUAUCAUUUCAUCUUAUCUUAUCUUAUCAUAAUAAAAAAUUGUAUGUACAAUUGAAUCUAAUUAUAUCUAUACCGAUAAAUUAAAAAAUAAAAAGCUCAACGUUGUCGAAAAUACUAAUUAAAGUGGAAAGAACGAGAAUGCAUGGGAGAGAAAAAGACGAAUAAAGGCAAAAGCUUAAAAUCAACUAUUUGUAUUAUUGGUUUUGCAUUUUUUUUUUCUUAUUAUACCUUUAUUUGAAUUAUCAUUUUUAAUUACAUUAUAUUCAAUUAAUCUUAAAAUUUUAAAUUGCUUGUCUUCUAAUAUUAGUUACAAAUUAUGAGUAUACAUAAUUAACUAAGUUAUUAGAUGAUUUUUUUUCCUUAAAAUCCACAGUUUUUGGGAUAAAUCAAUUUUAUAAAAUCCAUAAAGUUAAGGAUUAGUUUCUAAAGUAUAUUUAUAAAAAUUAAUAAAUAAUUAAAUUAUUUCACUUGUAAAGUUUAAACACUCCAUUAUUAUUAUAAAAUUAAUAAUCUUUAGUUAUCAUAUAUAAUAUUAUUUUAUAACAUAUAUAGAGACUUUAUAAAAUUUAUUUAAAUGGAGGUUUAAGUGAAUGGUUUCUCUUUUCGAUAUGUAGAAAAAUCUCUAAAUUUUUUUUUUUGUAAUGAUGUGUAAAACACUUUCUAAUUUUAAGCUAUUUAUCAAAAAAUAUAUAUUUAAAAAUUAUUUAAUUAUCUAAAACUUUUAAAUUUAGUUGGAAGAUCAAUUCAAUUAUUUUUAAAUUGCUAACAACAAAAUAUAUUUUAAACAUAUUAAUUUUUAAAAUACAUUUUCAAAUAAUCUAAAUAUAUAUCUUUUUCAAUUCAAAAUUUCAUAUAUAGGUAUAUAUUAUCUUUUAAAAUAGGUUUUCUAAUAAUAUAAAUAUAUGCAUUUUUUAAAUCUAAAAAUCUCAAAUGCAGUGAUAUUAUAAAAUAAAUUUUUUAAUAAUUUAAAUAUAUAUCACAUUAAAUUUGAAAUUUUAAAAUAUAACUUUUAUUUUUAUUAGAGAUUUCAUAAUAGUCCUUUCUUAUUUGGUUAUUUUUAAAUUUAAAAGGAUCAAAUAUUAUAUACAUUAGAAGAUAACUUAUUAUUUAAUGAUACUCUCAAUGUUUUUUUUUUUUUUCAACCUUUUUUGCUUGAAAAGAAAUAAUUUUUUAACCUGUAAGAUACAAAAAAAAAUUUUGUUAUAUUUUUAUAAUUUUUUUAUAUACGAUUAUAUAUUUUUUAUAAAGAAACAUGUAAAAUUUAAAAUAAAAACAUUAAUUUUAAAAAGUAUGUUGUUUAUAUUCCGCAAAACAUAUUCGUGGUUAAAAUAAUGACUAUUCUUAUUAAGACUGACAGGUACAUGGAAUGUGAGGUAUCGAUGCUCAUUAAUUUUAGAAAAAAUUAUUUGAUAAAUUAAUAGCAAAUUUUUUUAAUUUUACAAGGAGAUUAAAAAAAAAAGAAAGUAAAACCAGUUUCCCCUUUAUCAAUUUUGUAACUUUCUUUUCCUUUUUCAAUAAAUAUUUUUAUGUAUGACAAAACUACUCAAUAUUGUUGGUCCACCGCAUCAAUUUGUAAGUACCCCUCAAACAAAUUGAAAAAUGUGGAUUGCGUUUGGUGGGGUGCAAAGUGACAAAAGAAAGACAAGCAACGCGGAAUCGUACAAUAAAAUAGUAAAGCAAAUUGUAAAAUGUCUUUGGAUUUCGUUUGGUGGGCGAGUGGGGGUGGAAACGAAAUUUUAAGAAAAUUUUACAGAGUGAAAAAGAGAAGGAAUGCGGAACCAUCAUACAUAGCAAAGGAGUCAAGCAAAGGGAGACUUACAAAUUUAUGCAAUGCAUUGAGAAUAUUGAAUAAUUGUAACAGUGCUAAUAAUAUUUCUGGAAAAGAGAUAUAUUGAGUGAGAAAAUUGCAAAAAAAAAGAAAGAAAUUUAUAUUACUUUUUUACCCUCUCCACUAACUAGCAUAAAAAACAAACGUGAUUUUGUUUCUAAGAACCUAACCCCUUUUUUCAAUGUAACCCUGCUCAUUUAUUUUUUUAAGGUUGCCAUUUUUUAUUAUAAAAUCUAUUAUAUGCAUAAAAUUUUUUAAAUUCGUAUUUUUCUUUAUUUAAUGGGUACUGACAAUUUUGUAACUCUCUAAAAAAAGUAAAAAGACAAUUUUUUUUUUAUUUUUUUUAUAUUUUUCAGUAAUUUUUUAUAAACAUAUUUUUACAUGAAAAUAUAUUAAAUAACAAGAUGAUUUAAAACUUAUAAAUAUACAUUUUUAAAUGAAAAUAUAUUAUAUCUAAGUAUGAAUAAAUUCUUAGAGAAUUUAAAAGUAAAAAAUCACCAUGAAGGCAAAAAACAAGAUGCAGAAUUAAAAAUUCAGUUGAGACCCAAAAUACUAUAAUGAAGAUAAAUAUUAAAAAAAACCCAAAAAACAAAAAAAGAAAGGAUGUACAAUAUGCCAAAAUAUAGCAUCAUUAUAUUUAACAAACAGUGUCUCUUGUUAAAGGACUAAAAAUAAACAAGCAUUCCCUGUGUACAAAAAUAGAGAAUAUGUGAUUAAUGUAUGUUGAUCAGCAUCUUCUCGAAGAUAUGAAGUGAAAUCAUCCCAAUAAACAAAAAUAUGGUGACAAUGGAUUAGAUUUCCUUGAAAUAAACUAAACAAGUUUUGCAUCCAUGAUUAAGGGUUAUUAUUAGUGAAAGGCAAAACGGAAAUCAUGUUUUUUGUGUAUGCAGCUGGCAGAAGAUGGAGAAUUCGAUAUGGUUUAUUAUGGCUGAGAGUUCAAGUACAAACUACAAUAUCCAAAUUUUCAAUCGGAUAAUGGUUGAUUCAUGAACAUAGAUCAGUUCUAUUACAAUGCAACUCCAAGUCGCUCGGAAGAACUGCAAACACAUUAGAUCUUUCUAUACAUUAACGUAAGCAACUGCUUUAUGCUAAUUUUCUAUCUAAUUCUUUUUCUUCUUAUCUUUGGUAGGAACUGAUGCAUGUAUUUCUGUUCAUUUGUACACAUUUCUUUAGAAAGAAUUUGUCGAUGUCGAGCUCUAACUUAAAGAUAUUUUUGGAAAUGUAAAAGAAAAAGACGAUUAAAAGCAAAGGUAAGGUGUUUUUUUUUUGUGUUUGCAUUCUAACGCAUAAGUCAGUAAGGAUCAGGUCAGUUAUGAGGUAAGAAUGAAAGAAAGAAAUAAAUGAAAAGAACCUACCUUAGCGAUGCUUGGAUUUUUAUAUUUAUAGUAAGCUGUGAGGGACCAUAAGGAGACAAUAAAAACAGAACCUAGUUGAGGUGACACUGAUUAUGUCAGAUUUCAGGUUGACACAAAUGAUAAAGAUACCCUUGGUUAUUUGUUAAAAGCUUUGAGAGAGGAAAAGACCACUAUACUUUUUUAAUCAUUAAAUGCCCAUAACACUCUAUCCCUAAUCAGGCGGUCUAAGUAUCAAAUCAUCAAAUUUAUUAUCAAAAUCUCUGGUAUAAGACAAAUUGACUGAAGGAUCAAUUGGAAGCUUGAUUCAUUGAAGGUCGACGCUAAAGGGGGAGGUCAAUUUUAGGGGAUGACUAGCUUUAAGCUAUGGUUUAACCUUGAGGUUAUCCAAUCUUGCGUGUGUCCUAGAUCAAGUGCAUAAUCGGCUUAAAGGUUGUCGAUGUGAUAAUUGUGUAGAAUGAUUCGAGGUUAGUGUUAGAGUUCAUUUGCCCGUGAUGAGACUUGUAUUUUAUUUUGAAAAUUUGGAUUUGAGCCUUUAUUUUAGACUUUGGAGGUGAACUAGACUCUCAGUUUACCACAAACGGUUGUUCGAUUUAGCUUGUCUAACAUGGGGUUCAUCUAGUAAGGCUGGUUUGAUAACAUUAAAUGAGGAGAAAGAUGGUUUGAGUAAAAAAAUUUGAAGUGCGAUAACGAAAAGAUAUCUUUUCACAUUUACUUUGACACGUGAUACAGACUGUGUCGUUUAUUUGAUUUGUGAUGUAUCUAUAUAAAGAGCUGUUAGGGCUUUAAUUUUUCAUUUUUUUGCUUCUUUUACUCUUAAUUUGACCUAAAAUUUUUUAUCUCAAAAGCCCUCUAGCCUUUAAAGUUUUUUUACACCCUCUUCGGUAUGUAUCCCUAACCAUGUCCUCUAUUAUGAGUUCUAAGGAGGCUAGGAGUUACAAAGUAAAGCCAAUGGGAGGUCAGUGUGGGCAACAAGAUGACAAUCUGAUCCUUUCAAUUAUUAGGGACUGCAAUUAUGCAAGGAUAGCCUAUUGGUUUAAUCCAAUGUCCGAUGAAGGGCAGUGACAUAAUGAGGAGAAUGCUCAAGCAAGAGAGGAGCGAGUUCUAAGCACAGAAGAGCUAUGUGCUCAAAUUGACUUCGAACUUUAAUAUCCACCUCUUUUCUCCAUCUCUUAAGUUUGUCCAUCUUCUAUGGUUGACCUUUCUUUCUCUUCAAUUGUUUCUCAUUUUGGGGUUCUAUCUCAUCCACCUUAUUCUUCUUUUACUUUCCCCUCUCAAUCAUUUUUCCUUGACAUCUUUUCCUUUCCUAAGAGGUUUUCACCUCAUCCUUCUUCCUCGAGGAUCGAACUUUUUUUGUCUAUUACUUUACCUUGGAAUUUUUCUCCCAACUAAGAGUCAAAGUCGUCUGACAAGAGAGGUUCCAAAUAGAAACAAGAAGAAUGGAGCACCUUGACUGGAAAAAGUGACAGCAAGGGGGAGAACCUUGUGAUGAGUGAGCUAAAGGGUAGAGCAAAUCUAGAAGAUUGUCUUAACAUGUGUUCGGCUCAUUACGUUUAUACUCUGGGUACCACUUUCUUUUUUCCCAAAAAGGGGUAUAGUAUAAUAAUGCCUAAUUCCUCAAACCGGAUCAUUGAUAGAUUAGAGCCACAUUGACUUUACAUGCAUUGGGAUUUUUUUAUGGUUGAUCUGAGGUUUUCACUUUGUUUUUAUUCAUUUCAAUUUUUAAUUUUUACAAUUUGACCAUUACUCAGCUUACCCCAAAUUUUAUUCGGUACAUAGUUGCUUUUGUUAUUCUUUGUCAAUAGUUAAAUAUUUUUUCUCUCCCUUUAUUCAAGGAGUUCUCUCUAAAAAAAAUCCAAGUGAUGGCAAGUAGUAUUAUAUCAAAGCUUGGUAGAAUAAAAAACUUAUCGUCGAUUGCCUGAGCUUAAUAAAAAAAUUGGAAGUUUCUUUUCUUAUGCCUUGAGAAGCAAAAGGCAAAUAAAGAUGGUGAGCUUGAAGUUGAGACCUAGGAAAUAAGGAGCACACCUGGCUUUUUUGUGGACACGCCGAUGGCCCUUUCCAUCCUGGAUUUGUUAGAUCAAAAUAAAAUUUUGGACUUUACCCAUAGGAGGAGCUCGUCAUUGAUGCCCAUGAGCUGACCUCUCUAGAAGUAACAAACAUGACUGUUAUAAUGAUUUUUUAUUUGAAGAGACUCGAUCGUUAGAUUUGAUAAAAAUUUUUAAAGUCGCCAUCAAUCUUUUUUUGUAGGGUGUGAUUGACUACCAAAAAAUAUCAUCUUUUAAUAAAAAUAUUAAACUUGUCAUAACAGUUUUGAGACCACCAGACGUAAAGUAUUUUAAAAUUGAAAAAAUAAAAAAGGGAGUCACCACUAAUCUUUGUUAGGAUGUGAUUGGCCACCCAAAAGAUUAUUUUUUUAAUAAAACUAUAAAUGUGUGUUUAAAGUUUAUAAAAAAGACAAAUAUUGAUCUACAAAAAUCAGGUUGGGUCUGAGAGUCGAUUAUAUGUGGGGAAGGAUUAGCACCUCCACAACGCCCAUAAAUUAGUACUAUUUAAUCAUGCACUAUUUUCGGUGUUAGAAAAAAUGAUUUUGACUUAAAAUUUAAUACUAAUUCCCUUCGUUUGAAAAAGUAAAUAAAAUUUUACUGAAGUUCUUUAUUUAGGAAUAUUGAGAAAAUCUUUAAGUUAAAGAAUUAUCUUCAAAUUCUCUAACAUCUAGGCAAAUUUUAAAAUAAAUUUUUUUAUUUAAGAUUUAACGCAAUCUUCCUUAAAAUGAAAAUAACAUUCUUAGUAAAAAACAACUAUUGGUGACUCUCCAACAUCUAGGCAGAGUACCAAAAAUUAUUUCUUUCGGAAUGUUAUUUCUAUUUUAUUUUGUAAUGUCAAAACUUUAAAAUAUGUAUUUUUUGUAGAACAUUUUAUAUGAGAAAAUAAAUGAUGGUAUUGUCAGGCAACAAAUAAAAAUUAAAGACAAAGAAAUGCAACACGAAUAACAUGAUGAUGCAUAUAUGUUAUUAGAUGUUAUGCAAAGUGAUGAUAUAUAAAUUUAGAAUAGGGUUCUUGAAUAUAAUGAGAUCACCCCGACUCUCCAACAUCUAAGCUCAAAAUCUGAUUUUGAUUGGGCCUGAAGCCCAUUUUGUUUAAAAGCCCAGUCUGUCUUUUGAAUUGAAAUCGAGUCUUGACCCGAUAGCUCGAGAAUUAAAAUUCAGUAACCAAGACUUAAUUAAAAUCUGGAUAAAUUUGGUAUCUACAGCUGCCCAUCUUUACGCAUUACUAAGAAUCAAGAAUAGGAUAAAAGACAAAGACAACAAUUUUAUCCAAUGAACCAUCAGCGAACCGAUUUGAACAGGUUUGAACAGUCUCAACCGAAUCGCCGUUAACCGGUCCGGUUCAAGUAAAAAAAUUUGCUUUUUUUUAAUUUUUUAAUUUUUUUUAUAAAUUGUUAUUUUUUUAUUAUUUGAGUAUUUUUUUUAUUAUUUAUGCAUGAUAAAUUUUUAAAUUUAUUAGAAUAAAUAUUUGAUUAUUUUAAUAUUAAUAAAAUAAAAACAAAGUAAGAUAAUAACUAAAAAAUGCUUGAAAAAAUAAUAAUAUUUUUUAUAAAAAAAACUUUAUAAUAAGAAUAAAAUAUAUUUUUCCUACCUAGAUGUUGGAAGGAAUAAAAACCUAAUAUUUUAAAAUAUAAUUUCGUCUAGAUGUUAGGGAAUUAUAAAAAAAAAUUAAAAUUAAAAAAUAUAAAAAAAAUAUAAAAUGAUUAUAAACAUAAUAAAUAUAAUUUGGCCUAGAUGUUGGGGAAUUAUUAUAAAAAAAAUUCUAAAUAAAUUAAUAUUAUUAUUAAUGAUAAAUUUUCAUAAAAAAUAUAUAUGAAAAUUUUAAUUAAUUUUCAAAAAUUAUAAAAACCGAACUUGCUUCAAAAAUUUGCCUAGAUGUUGGAGAUUUUUAGAGAUGUUCAUGUUUCUCUAAACCAAAAUGUGAAACCUUAAAAUCUAAAAUCCUCAAAAUUCAAAUCCAUAAAUCCUAAAUUUGGUACACAACUCCGUACCAUCACCGAAAAAAUCAUUCAAACUCCAAAACCCCUAAAACUCUAAAUUUAUUCUGAAACUUUAAGGAUACGUGUGAAAAUCUCAUAUAAAAUAAUUUGUUAUCGAAUACCGCCUAGAUAAUGGAGUAUUUAGAAAACUUUAUUUCAUUAAGUUUUUUCACACGAAUUCUUAAUUCGCUUUAAUAAUGAGACUAAUUAAGUACAAAAGUAUAAUAAUAAAAAGGAAUCUUAAAUAUAAACAGUCGUACCUAAGCUUUGCCUAGAUGUUGAAGAGUCUGGUGGUCUCAUUAUAUUUGAGAACUCUAUUCUAAAUUUAUAUGUCAUCACUUUGCAUAACAUACAAUAACAUAUAUACAUCAUCAUGUUAUUCGUGUUGUAUUUUUCUGUCUUUAAUUUUUAUUUACUGCCUGACAAUACCAUUAUUUAUUUUCUCAUAUAAAAUGUUUUACAAAAAAUACAUAUUUUAAAGUUUUGACAUUACAAAAUAAAACAGAAAUAACAUUUCGAAGAAAAUAAUUUUUGGUACUCUACCUAGAUGUUAGAGAGUCACCAAUAGUUGUUUUUCACUAAGAAUGUUAUUUUUCAUUUUAAGAAAUGUUGCGUUAAAUCUUAAGCGAAAAGAAUUAUUUUAAAUUCUGCCUAGAUGUUAGAGAAUUUGAAGAAAAUUUCUUUAACUUAAAAUUUUUCUUAAUAUUCUUAAAUAAAGAACUUUAGCAAAAUUUUAUUUAUUUUUUCAAACGAAGGGAAUUAGUAUUAAAUUUCAAGUCAAAAUCAUUUUAUCUAACACCGAAAAUAGUGUAUGAUUAAAUGGUACUAAUUUAUGGGCAUUGUGAAGGUGCUAAUCCUUCCCCACACGUAACCAACUCUCAGACCCAACCUGAUUUUCGUAGACCAAUAUUUAUCUUUUUUAUAAACUUUAAACCCACUUUUAUAGUUUUAUUAAAAAGAUAAUCUUUUUGGUGACCAAUCACACCCUAACAAAGAUUGGUGAUGACUCUCUUUUUUGUUUUUUCAAUUUUAAAAUACUUUAUGUCUGGCGGUUCGGUUGAGAUGGGUUGGCGGAUCAGUUUGCAUAGAUCUCGGGUCAGGUUCGAUCCACGCGCGGAUCCUCUUAUGCUCAAAAUGAUGUCGUUUUGGGCUUUAGGCUUCUAUAUAUAUCUAAAAAAUUUUUUGGUUCAUUGUUCUUCUAUUUCAGAAAAAAAAAGGCAGAGCUUUGAGGAGAGCUCUAGUGCUCUCCUGCCAUUCAGUCGCCAAACCACCCUGUCGAUCGUCGCUUGGGUCACCGUCAGCGGUGGUCGUCGGUGAUCGAAAAAUUUUAAAACUGACUAGAAGGUUUCGUUCAACCUUCUGAGCUCAGAUUUGUCACCCGUUUCCCCAAAAAUUGCUUUGAUCAACUUAGAUCGAGAUUUGAAGUUUUUUGGUUCUUUUUUUUUUUGAAAAAUAAACUGAUAGCUUCUUUUUUUUGUUACAGAUGACUCGACGCUGAGUUCCUUCUUAUGGGGAAAACUAUUUAUUUUUGUUUUUGUUUUUGUUUUUUUUGUUUGGGUGUUUUUAUAUGGAUGUUUUGUGUCUUUUUUUUUGGGAAUGUAGGGUGUUUAUGUAUAGAUCCUCUAGCUUAGAAAGGGAGAAAGCUAGGGUCUUUAUAGAACCGAAUGUAUGUUCAGAAAGGUGGUUUAGGGGUUGUAAGGGAUGGCUGUAGGUGUCUGUAGCGUGUGACUAUAGGGGUGGUGAAUGUCAUAAGCGUGGUUGGUCUGAUAGGACUGGUCUAGUGGCUGGUCUUGUCUGUUGGGGCCGACGGUGCCACCAUUUUUUAUUUUUUUGUUUGAUGAAUUUUUAGUAAUUAAUUAAUUUUUUAAUUUUAAUUAAACCAAUUUUAUUACUAUUAUUAUUAAAAUCAUUAUUGUUAUUAUUAAAAAAAAAAGAUCGAAUAAAAUUAGUGUCUACAACUAUCCCGCUUUACACAUUACUGAGAAUCAAAAAUAGGGCAAAGAUAAAGACAACGAUUUUGUUUGGAAGUAAAUAGUGGAUUUCUCAAAAGUUUUUCUUUUUUUUUGUUUUAUUUUUAACCACAGGUCAAAUGAUAAAAAAAUGACCGAUACGACACUACGAGUCGAUAAAUAAAAAAUCGAUCGAGAUAACACCAGAAGUCGAGAAGUAAGAAAAGACGAUCGAGACAACACUGCGAGUCGAGGAAUAACAAGAUCGAGAUUGAACUUAGAUUGAAUCAUAAGUUGAAAAAUAAAAAGAUUGGGAUUAAAUCAUGAGUCAGAGAAUAAUGAGGAUCAGGAUUAAACUGCGACUUAAAAGUAAAGAAAUCGGGAUUGAAUUGUGAAUUAAGAAAAUAGAAAAGACUGAGAUUGAAUCACAAGUUAGAGAAUAAUAAGGAUCGAGAUGAAACCGUGACUUAAAAGUAAAGAAAUCGGGAUUGAAUCGCGAGUCAAGAAAAUAAAAAGACCAAGAAUGAUCCGUAAGUUAGAACAAUAAAAGUGACAGGGAUUAAAUCACAAGUCGAAAAUUAUAUAAAUGAUCGGGAUUAAACUACGAGCCAAAUAUUAACGAUGACUGGAACUGAAUCGCAAAUCAAGAAGCAAAAGUGACUAAAAUUAAACGGCAAGUCGAUAACUAUAGAAAUGAUCGAGAUUAAACCACAAGCCAAAUAUUAACAAUGACUGGGAUUGAACCGCAAGUCAGGGAGCAAAAGUGAUUGAGAUUAAACUGCAAGUCAAAAACUAUAGAAAUGAUUGAGAUUAAACCAUGAGCCAAAUAUUAACAAUGACUGGGACUGAACUACAAGUUAAGGAGUGAAAGUGACUAAGAUUAAAUCACAAGUUAAAACUAUAGAAAUGAUCGGGAUUAAACUACGAGCCAAAAAAUAGCAACAAUUGGGAUUAAAUCAUGAUUUUGAAUUAAAGAGAUCGAGAUUAAACCGCGAGUCAGAGAAAUAUUGAAAAUCAAGAUUAAAUCAUAAAUCAGAAAAUAAAGAGACUGGGAUUAAACCACAAGUCAAAAAAUGACGUUAAGUUGGAUUGAAUCACAAGUCAAAAAAUAAAGAGAUCGAAAUUAAACCGUGAGUCGAAACAUAAAGAGACUGGGAUUAAAUCGUAAGUCAAAAGAAUAAUAAGGAUCAGGAUUAAAUCAUAAGUUAGAGAAAUAUUAGUGACCAAGACUGAGCUAUAAGUUGAAAAAUAGGGGAUCGGAUACUCUAUAGACCAAUAGUUUUGAUUUUAAGAAUCAUCUUGGAGGUAACCUAUCGACUUCAAGGCCAUCAUAUUUAUUUUGAAAAAAAAAAUGUUGACUCUUCUUGAUGUCUCAUAAGAAAAUUUUUUAUGCAACUUAUUAAGAGAUUUGUGAUGUAUACAGUGAUUAUAAUGAAUGAAAAGACAAAGAUGCAAUCAAUGAAUUAUAUCAUGCAUUUUCAUCCAAGUUAAUUCACUUUUUGGUUCAAUUCUUUCAAACUUUAAAAGCCGCUUUCAAUAAUCUCAUCCUUUUAAAUCUUUCGAUUUUCGAUCGAAAAUCUUCGUCUUAUGAUGGACCCACUUGGCUUUUAGUCACUCUAAAAUCUUUUUUCUUUUGAAUUCUUUCUUUAUCCCCUUUUGUUCUUUGUUUUCAACUUCAUUUUAUUCUUUCUACCCUCAUAUUACUAUUUUUGUCAUCCUUAUAUUGCAUUCUUUUUUUGAGCAGUGCAUUGGUCUAUUAUGAACUUUAUCAAUCACUAUCUUAAUUUUAAAUGACAAAUGCAAUGAUUUCAAGGUUAAAAUUAGUUGUGAAACACAGUCAAUAAUGGGGUAUUUUAAGUUUAGAAAGAUAAAUAUAAGCCUUUCAGGACACAAAAAAUAGUUAACUCAAAAGUAUUUCAAAAACCAAAUUAUCAAUUCUCUAGUAAUGAAAAUUUGAAUGACCUUGGCCCACUCAGACUAGGUCUUCUCCAAAAACUUGUUACAUUUAUGAUCUUGUCAUGUGUGAUUUUAUAUAACCAAUCUUGCCCUAUAUCUGUGACUAAUGGAAACUUACCCCCUAAAAGUCAUAUCCCUUAAUUCUGAUGACUAUUCAUCCAUUUAGUGGCAUUCAUUCGUUCUUUGAAAGGCUUUCUCCUAGCUCCACCUUCAUCAAGCUGUCUUUUUAUGUUUUCAAUUCAAAUGACCCCCUUUAAUUCAAACCACCAUUUUUGGGUUUUCAAUCUGAAUCACUUUUCUUUUUUUUCUCUUUUUUACCCUUUUUUUUUACAUCUUUUUUUUAAGCAAAAUAUUUUUUGAUAAUGUUUGAAUUUAUAGGAUUUGACAAUUCAUUAUUGUCCAUUUCUGCAAGGAUUAGAGCUCCACCAGAGAAUGCCUUUUUUUUAUCACAUAUGGACCUUUCUAAUUGGGCAUCCAUUUUCUCCUAUUGUCAUGUUGGUAUGGCAAAAUCCUUUUUUAAACCAAUUCACCUUUACGAAAGCACCGAGGUUGUACCUUCUUAUCAUGUGCUUGCAUGAUUCUUUUUUGGUACAUUUGCCCAUGACUGAGCGUCGAGAGCCUUUUUUUUUUUCAAUAAGAUUCAAUUACUCAAACGGUCAUGAACCCAAUCUAUUUAAUCUAAUUUUACCUCUAUUAAUACUCUUAGAGAAAGAAUUUUUACUUCAAUUGGUAAUACAGCUUCCAUCCAAUUUACUAGCAAAAAAAAAUGGCCCAUGUAGAAAGUUCAAAUUGAUGUUCUAUAAGUAAGAAGGGCAAAGGGUAAUUUUUCAUGCCAGUCUUUAUAUGUAUCCGUCAUUUUUUUUAAUAUUCUUUUGAUAUUCUUAUUCGCAGCUUCUACUGUACUAUUCAUUUUUAGACGAUAUAGUGCUUAAUGAUGAUGUUUGAUCUUGAACUGUGCACAUAAUUCUUUCAUUAUUUUAUUGUUCAAGUUGCUAGCAUUAUCCAAGAUAAUCUUUUUUGGGAGACCAUACCAACAUAUUAUCUCUUUUUUUUAUAAAUCUACACACCACUGAUCAUGUAAUACUAGCAUACGAAGCUGCUUCUACCCACUUUAUGAAGUAAUCAAUUAUCACGAAGAUAAAAUGAUGUUCAUUCGAAGCUUUUGGGGUUAUGAGUCCAAUCACAUCCAUUUUUCACAUAGAGAAAGGCUAUAGUGAUGCUAAGACAUGCAGUGAGACUGAAAGAGAAUGAAUUUUAUUUGCAUAAAUCUUGCAUUUAUGGCACUUUUUAGCAUAGUUAAUGCAAUUAUUUUCCAUUGUAAAUCAGUAGUAACCGGCUCUUAUAAUCUGUUUGGCCAUCAUAUGCCCAUUAGCAUGUGUUCCAUAAAUUUUUUGUGUACUUCUUCAAGUAUCUUUCUUGCUUCGACAGCAUCUACACACCUCAGCAAGAUCUGAUAUUAACUCUUUUUAUACAAGAUUUUUCCAUCAAACACAAACCCUACUGCUAAUCUUUGGAUGAUCUUUUAUCAUUUUUUGAGACCUGUUUAAGGUAGUUUUGGUACUUGAUGUACUGUACAAUGUCAUAGUACCAUGGUUUCUAAUCUACCUUCUCAUCUACAUUCGAACAAUGGGCUGAUGAAUCUCUCAUUUAUAUUUUGAUGGGCUGGAUUCCCAUACUGUCAUUUAAUUUGAACAUUAUUGCCAGAGUAACCAAAGCAUCAGCAAUCUAAUUUUUUUCUCGAGGAACAUGCUGGAACUGGAUUUUUUUAAACUAUUUUAUUAAGCUGGUUAUGUGCCUUUGAUAUAACACUAGUUUGGGGCCUCUGGUCUUUCAUUCGCCUUUCUAUUGAUAAAUUACUAAGCUGAAUCCCUAUAUACUUCUAGUGUUUCAAUCUUCUUUUCAAUGGCCAUCUGUAACCCUAUGACACAUGCUUCAUAUUUUGUAACAUUGUUGGUGCAAUUAAAGUCUAACCUUGCAGUACAAGGGUAGUAAUUUUCUUCUAGGGAUAUUACUACCCCAAUGUCACGCCCCAUUAUAUUGGAUGCCUCAUCAAAAAAUAUUUUUCACACUUUUUUUACAAACUCUUUAUCUUCAUCCUGUAGGAUCGUUAUCAAAUCUUCAUCUGAAAACUCAAACUUUAUAGGUUAUAACCUUUUAUAGUUCGAUCAAUAAGAAAAUCAGCUAUUACACUCCCUUUUAUGGAUUUUUGUGUCACAUACACAAUAUCAUAUUUCGAGAGUAUGACUUGUCAUCUCGUUAUCUUGCCUGAUAAAAAUGAUUUCUCAAAAAUGUACUUGAGGGGAUCUAAUUUUGAUAUUAGCCAAAUCGUAUGGUAGAGCAUGUUUUGCCUAAGUCUACGAGUAGUCCAAGCUAGGGCAUAACAUAUUUUUUCUAUUUAGGGGUACUUGGCCUCAUACUCUGUAAAUUUUUUACUAAAGUAAUAGAUAGCAUGCUCUUUCUUACCAGUUUUAUCUCUUUGCCUCAAUAUACAUCCUAUUGAUUUUUUUUGAAUUGUUAGAUAUAAAAUCAAUGGCCUUCCUAUAACUGGUGGUACUAACACUGGUGGACUUAUCAAAUACUCUUUAAUAUUUUUAAAGGCAUUUUGGCAUUCUUUUUCCCAUUCACCAUGAUUAUUUUUAUGAAGUAACCUAAAAAUUAGAUCGUAUUUCGAGGUAAAUUGAGAUAUGAAGUGAGAAAUAUAAUUUAAUCACCCCAAAAAGCCUCUCACUUCUUUUUACGUGAGUGAUGCUGACAACUCUUGAAUGGCUCAAAUAUUAUCAGGGUCUACUUCUAUACCUUUUUCACUAAUAUAAACCCUAACAAUUUUCUAGAUUUAACACCAAAGGUGCAUUUGGUUGGAUUCAACUUGAGCUGGUAUGUCCGUAAUCCUUCAAAGAGCUUUAUGAGAUUAACAAUAUGAUCUUCAUCUUCUUGAGAUUUAGCUAUCAUGUCAUCAAUAUAUACCUCUAUCUCUUUGUGUAUUAUAUCAUGAAAAAGAGUGACCAUCACCCUUUGAUACGUGGCACCAGCAUUCUUUAGCUCGAAAGGCAUGACUUUAUAGCAAAAUGUGCCCCAUAUUGUCACAAACAUGGUUUUCUCCAUAUCUUCAUAAGCUAUUUUGAUCUGAUUAUAGCAAAAAAAUCCAUCCAUGAAUGAGAAGGUGGAGUGUUUAACAAUAUUAUCCACAAGGGUAUCAAUAUGUUGCAAUGGAAAAUUAUCUUUUGGGCUGGCCCUAUUAGGUCUCGAUAGCCCACGCACAUUCUAACUUUUCCAUCUUUCUUAGGAACUGGGACUAUAUUGGCUACCUAUUUGGGGUAAUUGGCUACUUUAAAAAAACUAACAUUAUAUUACUUUUUUACUUUUUUUUUUAUCUUCAGUAAUAUUUUCUACUUCAUGUGUCUUAACUUUUACUGUACAGGUUGACAUUCUGAUUUUAAAGGCAAUCUAUGCUCAAUCACAUCUAUGCUAAGUUCAGGCAUAUCUUGGUAGAACCAUGCAAAUACAUCCACAUACUCUUGUAGUAGAUUCAUCAACUUUUAUUUUUCAAUCGGUGAUAAUGAAGUACCGAUUCUAACUUCUUUUUAAUCCUCACCAUUUCUUAAAUUCAAUAAGUCAGUUGAUUAUUAAUGGGGUUCUAUAAUUUUUUCCUCUUGCUCCAUCUAUUUUAAUAGAUCUUGAGGCAAAUCAUAGCCUUCUGAAUCAACAUUGUUAUUAAGCUUGCUAAUGUGAAUCAAAUUUUCAAAAUCAAACCUGGUGUUAUUGCCUUGAUCAUCCAUAAUGUUCAUUAUUAGAAAACCUAAAAAUGGGUAUAAUCACAAAGAAUCUUGGCAAGGGCAAAAAGGAUAGCAAUAAAAAAGGAAAGUAAAAUGAAAAAUAAAGAACCUGGUAUACGUGAAAUGCAUUGCAUCCAUCAUUUUAUUAAGACAAUGAAAAUAAGCCAUACAUUUAACCUCCGUAUGCUCUUGGGCAGAAGCAAUUGGAAUUUUCGAGUUAAAAGGUUCAAGGAUAACAAAAAUGGUACAUCAUUCUUGGAUCUCUUAACCUAAAAAGGAAAAAAGAUCUUUUCAUCUUGCAUGACUCAUUCAUCUGCUCUAAUUUGAAAUUGAGAAAAGGCUUUCUCCAAUUCUAUUACCGGUUUUCUUUGUUCAAUCUCCUUUGAUCUAGGAUAGAUAUGCCCACUUGAAUGAAAUGUUUCAUACAAAUAAGGGAACAUCAUUUUUUUUAUCAAUCAAGUCUUGCCCUUUAAGGCGUGCCAUUCUCUUUUCUUUUUUUUUUCAGCAUUAUGUUUUUUUUUAUCAGUAGCCGUAGGCUUAUAGCUUAAUCCCCAUCUUUCUUUAUUUUUCACUGAGCAUGGUGCUCUUAUGAUUCCUUACAGAGUUUUUUCUAACCUUGCCUGACUCGUCAACCUUUGCCAACAGUCUGUCUGAUCACCAUGUCUGUAGUUUUUGAAAAUUGAGGGAUUGGUAUCUUUGACCCUUCUUUGACAUAAAUAGUAUUUGCUACUUCAAAAGCUCUGAAUGAACAUUCGAUUGCUUCUUCUACAGCCUCAAUGUAAGGAAUAGUUAAGGUCUUUGUUACUAAUAAAUCUUUCUCACCAUCAACAGAGACUUGUUUCCCUUUCACGAUGAAUUUUGUCUUCUGGUGUAAAGAUGAAGGUAUAGUUUCGAUUGUAUGAAUCCAAGGUCUUUCUAGUUGAUAACUAUAUACAGAAGUUAUGUUCAUCACUUAAAAUAAAAAAUUAAAGGUACAAGGAUCGAUCUACAAUGAGAUCUCUAUAUCACCAAUUACCUCUUUUCAUGCUCCAUCAAAUGCUCUUACAAUCAUAUGACUAUUUCACAUGUAAGAGGAAUCUACCAGGAGUCCUGGCAAUGUCAUUAGAGGUAUGACAUUAAUGGAGGAUCCAUUGUCAAUCAAAACUUUGGCUAUAGUGUGGGUUUUACAUUUUAUAGUAAUAUGUAAAGCCUUAACACUACCUCAUCCUUCAAGAGGUAUUUUGUCAUCAUUGAAGGUGAUGAAAUUCGGGCUAUGAUAUUCUCAACCAUGUAAUCUACCUUCUCAAUAAAAAUGUUAUGUCCGAUAUAAGCUUGGUUGAGCACUUUCACAAAGUGUUCCUAUACGGUUUAGAAUUCAUCAGUAGUGAUAGUAAAGAAAUACGAGCUGACAAUUUGUUUAGCUGGUCAACCACUCUGUACUCACUAUACUUAAUGAUUUUUAAAAACUCACAAGCUUCUUUUUCUGACACUGGUUUGUUAGUCUGCACUUCUAACCUUACCACUGGCUGAUAAUCUUGGCUUUCCCUUAUGUUUUCUUCUUCUAUCUUAUCUUUUCCUUUCCUAGCCCUUUCUAACAUCUUAGGAGUAUAAAUCCAACCACUUCGAGUCAUUCUUCCUAUUCCUGCCAUGUUGGCAGUAUUUCUCAUACUUGAAUUAUUUGGGGUUAUAUCAGGGCCUUGCAUCACAACAUCAUAAUCAUAUUUUCAUGGGACUACUUUAUCGAUCUGAUAAGGGAAUGAACUAGGGACAUAAAUGAUCAUUAGUAUCCUAAAAUAAAGAAUGACUUUUUCAAUUAUGGGCUCCGAUUUCUCAUCAUAGUAGACAGUGAAAGGUUUUGGUAUAAAAGACUUGCCAAGAUGCUCAUCACCUAUUGUAUUCAUACUACUUUCAUCACAUUCAUCAUAAAACUCAAUGAUAGCCUCAUCCAUCAAGCUCUGAAAUAUUCAUUUAAAGUCCUCACAACCUUGGAUCGAAUGUCCAAAUGAUCCUCUAUGGUACUUGCAAGAAUGGUCGGGGUCUUCAUAACUUCCAUUAUUAUCCAAAAACAACGGUUGAAUCAUACUCAUCUUACAUAAAUAGUCAUACACCCAUUCAAAAGGGGUCUUUAUUUCAUCCACGUAUCUUUUGAUUUUUAUAUCUUUUUUCUUACCCAUCAUAUUAAUUUUCCCUUCGGUGUGAUCUGGGAAAGAGUUUUCAUUGACACUUGGCUUGAAUUUGGUGUCAAAAGUUAAAAGGUCAUAUUUAUCAGACCCCGCACCUUAUGUUUAAGUGCCGUGUAAUUUUCAGUAGAGUGUCCUGUAAUACCAUAGUGAUAAUCGCACUUAGCGUUAGGGUCAUUCCAACUCGGGUAAGGUGGUUUUAAUGGCUUUACGUAGGAAGGAGUGAUAAGAUGACCUUUCACUAACUAAGAGUACAAAUCAGUAUAAGACAUAGAAAUUAGAUCAAAAUGAGGUCUUUCUCGAUUGUUAUUAUUUUGUGGGUUUCUUUGAUUAUUGUUUUGGUAGGUUGGUUGGACGAAUGGUCGAGUUGGAGGUGCAGAGGUGUAAUUGGAUAGCUGUGGGCUAAAACUUGGUCUGGCCAGUAGUUGUCGAGGUGCUCAAUAAUGAUAUGGUUGUUGAGAAAUUUGGUUAUUGAUAGGGUAGUAAUGAGGGUAUGGAAGGCUUGGAUUAUAUGGGACAAAAGGAUGAUGCGAGAGAUUUCUAUGAGUAAUAGCAUGUGUCUCUUGCUCUUUCUUUUUUGAACUUGUUGUUUUCUUUUCGAGCCCUUCAAUUUUACCAUUUUUGAUAGUGCUCUCUAUCAUUUUUCUUGAGAUUACCAUGUCAGAGAAGUGUUUUGUGGCAUUCCCCGCCAACUUAUCAUAGUAUGGGGCUUUCCAUGUUUUGACAAAUAGCACAGUUAUCUCUUUUUCGUUAGUGGUGGUUAGACUUAGGCCGCUGUAUCUCUCAAUCGAUGUGCAUAUUUCUUAAAGGUUUUCGUUGAUUUUUUCUCCAUAUUUUGUUAUGACAACCUAUCAAGGGCUGUAUCAAGGACAUGCUUAUACUGAGCAAUAAAAGUUUUGGCCAAGUCUUUUCAUGUAUGAAUUUUACUUCGGUCUAAUUGCACAUACCAUAUCGCUGCCAUUUCGAUUAAACUCUCUUAAAAAGCAUUGUAUUAAAAGUUUGUCAUUUUGGGUAUGACCUAUCAUCUUUCGACAAAACAUGAUAAUAUGAGCAUAAGGACAUUUUUUUCAUCAUAUUUCUCAAAGUCUGAGGUUUUAAAUUUGGUUGGGAUAACCAAAUCAGGUACUAAGUUCAACUCAUUAGCGUCAACAACCCCAUAGAUAUCAUUACCUUCCACUGCUUUGAGCGUCUCUUCAAGUUGAUCAUACUUGUUUUGUAUUUUUGAGUUUAUAAUAGGCUCCAAAAUUUCAUCAAACUUUUUCUAUUCAACUGGUUCAUCAAGAUUUGGUACUAUGGUGGGAUCAGCUGGGAUAGGCCCAACAUUAGUAUUUAAAUGGAUCAAUUGUUGGCUAGCAGAAUGAUUGACAUAAGGAUAUGGCUGCACACUUGGUGGGCGUAUGUGUAUGUCACGAGGGGCUUGAGCUUGGGCCUGAGGUGGAGUGAAUCCAGGAGGAUAGAAUGGUUAUUUAUAUUAACUUCUUCCCCUGUCUUUGAUACCUAACAACUUUUUUACCUUUCACUAAAUCAGUCAAUAAUUGUCUUAAUUCAACCAUUUGGGCUUCUAUAUUUUGCUAUAUCUCCAUCACUCUUUCUCUUAUUUCUUAUUGUACCCUUUCGAUUCUUUCAAAUCUGGUUACAUUCUCUUCUUCUAUAACUCGAGCUUGAGAAUGAGUAUUAUAUCUAUGCAAGAUUGUCUGACUUAGAUUUUUCGACUUUGCUAUCCUUGAGCCUUAGUUUAUUAACCAUGAAUUAGAACACAUGAUAUAAUAUCAUUGCUUAGUAUUGUUAAUAUUUAUCUUUAGUAAAAUGCAUGUAUGGAAUGAAUGAUAUGCAAAUUGUAGGUAUUGUUUUAGAUCAAUCGAAACAAAAAAAAACUUUCAUUAAUCAUGGGAAUUUUUAUAUAUUAUAUGAUCAUCCUUGUUUUAAAAGCAUAAAAACAUUUAAUUUGAGCAUAUUGCUCUCUAGCUUCACACAAAAAGUUCAAUAGUCUCUGAUUGUAGCCUUGGGUGGGUACAAUCUCUUAUUCCAGUGCUUCCGUCUUUUCGAUCAUGUAGCUUGCCUUUCAGAUAGCCUUAUACAUUUGAGGGGUCAAAUGUUCUAUGUAUUGUUGUCUUUCUAAACUUUCAGAUCUCUAUAUUUCUCGAGCAUCCACUUUUAUAUUGCAAGUACGAGCCCAAUAAUCUUUUUUUUCUUGCCAUUCACCAAAAUCUUGUCUAUGUGACUCUGAUUGCUUGUCAACUGAAGCUCUAAGCUCAUUAAUUCCUACUCUAAAGCCUUUUUCUCAUUUUGCAAAUUGGAGUUCCUAUUCUGUUCAUUCCUUAGUUCGACUUUUAGCUUUUUGUUUUCUUUUUGGCACCUCGUUACCUUUUCAAAACUUUUUAAAAGUUUUUUUUUCCAUUCAUGCUAUUCUUUGGUGAGGUCAGAUAUGAUUUCCUUGUUCUCUCGAGCUCUAUUCUUCUAAUACCCCACUAUAUCCCUUAAUUCUUCCACAUCCUUCUUAGAUCCCUUCAAAGGUCUACUGUCCAACCUCAAUUUCUUAUUUUCUUGAUGCAGAUUUUACAGAUCUUUUUUCAAUACCUUUCGUUCUUGAUCAACUUUUGUACUGUAUCAUUUUUUAUCAUUAAAUCAUGUCUCGGUUGGUUAACUUGAUCCAUCAUGGCCAUCUUCUUUUUCUUUAACUUUUUCUUUUUAAUCUCAAAUUCUGGUUGGGCAAUUUCAAAAGUUGAUAAUACUAGUACUGAAAUAGAAGUUGGUAACUUUUCUGAAAUAUCGACGGUAGAAGAAUUUUGUUAACCCUUUUCAUCCUCCACGUAAGGUAACCUUUUGCGACAUUAUCUGUAAAUCUAGUAGUACUCAUUCGGUUGACCUGCUUCUAUGCUUUGAUGAUUUCACGAACCCUUUUCAUAUAAUCGAGUGUCCCAUAAUCAAACUCGAGUGAACUGAGUCUAUAAGUCAUAGGAAUGAACUGCCGUGAGUCAUAUUAUCUUUGAACCAUAAGAGGUACAUAACCCACUGUCCCCCAUAUUCCAAACAAGGGUACCUAUGACUCGUUUCCACAACUAUACAAGAUAGCUAUAGGAAGCAUCCAUGGUGUCUUCCAUGUUACAUCUUCAUUAGUGAGUUCCAAAAAGAACGACAUCCACUAACUUUUUGUCCAAUCCCUUAUCCAUUCUUUGGCAACAAACUCCUUGAUGGGAAUGAAAUGAAUGAAAAAUGGCCUAAAUAAUAUCUUUUCAUUUCCUUACAAAUAACUUUUGAGCCAAACAAAAAGUAACUGAGCACACCUUAUAAAAUCGCCUCUCAUCUUUUUUUUUACAAAAAUUAAGUGAUCUAACAGUCUCUGCCAAAAUAGUUGGUGACGAGUUUAUACCUUUAUCCAAUUACUCAAAAAGUCAACCACUGAUGCUUCUAUAUGUCUUAACACCUUAGGGAAUAUCAUCAAUCUAUACACGGCCAAAGCAAACACAUCCAACCUCUGAUUAGUAUCAAUAUAUUAUUUUAUAUACUCAAGCAGAAAAGCUGAUAGAAUAGUCUCAACCUCGUUCUUUUCUUUCUUAUGCUUAUCUAUCUCCUCAAUCCCUACUUGCAUGAUCUUGGUUAACUUCUUUCUAUAUCCAGUAAUCUUAUGCUUUUUCUAAUGGAUCUUAUCUUGAUAUGUAGACUCUAUUCAGAGUAAGGAUGAAUAUUCUUCAAUUGUGGGGGUCAAGCUUUCUUGGUUGAAUAUAAAACAUUGAUAAGGUGGAUCUUAAAAUUGUACUGAUGCUCUAAUAAGCUGUUCAUUAAUCUUUACUAACAUGAGUUAUGCCAUAUCUUCAUAUUUCUUGAAAAAAGAUUCUUUUCUUUCUGUUCCCCAUUGUUUCCAAAUAGCCUUCAAUUCUGAUGUGUCAUUUUGACUGAGAUCCACGUACACUAACUGUGGUAGCGAUAGAGUACGACCAUUUACUAAAUAAUCUCUUUCUUUUUUUUGAGUACUUUUUGAUUGGCUUUUAACCUCUAAGUAGCUCUCACACACAAAUGACAUCUCGUAGGUUUUCUGAAAGUUUUUUUUGCUAAAGAUUGGUCCAAAUCAAUACCCUCUUAAGAAAUGUGAUAUCUAUAUGAUGUAUGCAGUAAAAUUGAAGGAAACAAAAGAAUUAAACAAAUCAAUAAAUAAGUAAAUAAAUAAACAAACAAAUAUAUGAUAGAAUAGAAUAUAUAUAGCGUCUUAAUUUUAGGUAAUGGCAUGGCUCCAUCCUAAGGCUGGGCCUUACAGCUCACUAUAUGCUGGGUUAAGAUUUACAUGUCUAAAGGUUCUCAGACUAUUCCUCACAUCAUUGUCCGUUAUAGACUAGUAAGGUUCCUCGAUUCUCACCCAUUAUGGGCUAUUAUCGGAAAUGGUUCAAUCUGAGUGAAAGUGUUUCACUAGCAAAUGCGGAGGUUAUCACCUCAUGAAAGUGUAGCUACUUCACUUUCUCCUAAAAAGAAUAGAGCCCAGGUCUAGAGCUCAUGCAUGUGAAUGAUAUGCAAAAUAUGUGCAAAGUAAUGUAUUAAUCAACAUAAAUAAAUCAUAUCACAAAACCAAAAUAAAGUAAUAACUAACAAUUUAUUUUAUUCAUUAAAUUUUUUUAAAAAAAUGGAAUAAAGAAAUUGAAUUAACUAUCAAAUAAAACCAAUUAAAUCCAACCAUUAUCAAUAGCGCAUAAUUAAAAAUUUUGGCUUGACUCUCAAAUAUCCCCAGUAGAAUCGUCAAGUUGUCAUAACGGUUUUGGGAUCGCAAAACGUAAAGUAUUUUAAAAUUGAAAAAAUAAAAAGGAGAGUCGCCAUCAAUCUUUGUUAGGGUGUGAUUGGCCACCCUAAAAGAUUAUCUUUUUAAUAAAACUAUAAAAGUGGGUUUAAAGUUUAUAAAAAAGACAAAUAUUGGUCUACAAAAAUCAUGUUAGGUUUGGGAGUCGGUUACAUGUGGGGACGGAUUAACACCCCCACAAUGCCUAUAAAUUGGUACCAUUUAAUCAUGCGCUAUUUUCAGUGUUAGACAAAAUAGUUUUGACUUGAAAUUUAAUACUAAUUUCCUUCGUUUAAAAAAAUAAAUAAAAUUUUGCUGAAGUUCUUUAUUUAGGAAUAUUGAGAAAAUCUUUAAGUUAAAGAAUUAUCUUCAAAUUCUCCAACAUUUACACAGAAUUUAAAAUAACUCUUUUUUCUUAAGCUUUAACGCAACAUUCCUUAAAAUGAAAAUAACAUUCUUAGUGAAAAAUAACUAUUGGUGACUCUCCAACAUCUAGGCAGAGUACCAAAAAUUAUUCCCUUCGGAAUGUUAUUUCUAUUUUAUUUUGUAAUGUCAAAACUUUAAAAUAUGUAUUUUUUGUAGAACAUUUUAUAUGAGAAAAUAAAUGAUGGUAUUGUCAGGCAGCAAACAAAAAUUAAAGGUAGAGAAAUGCAACACAGAUAACAUGAUGAUGUAUAUAUGUUAUUGGAUUUUAUGCAAAGUGAUGACAUAUAAAUUUAGAAUAGGGUUCUUGAAUAUAAUGAGACCACCCUGACUCUCCAACAUCUAGGCAGAGCCUAGGUGCGACUGUUUAUAUUUAAGAUCCCAUUUUAUUAUUAUACUUUUAUACUUAAUUAGUCCAUUAUUAAAGCGAAUUAAGAAUUUAUGUGAAAAAACUUAAUGAAAUAAAGUUUCCUAAAUACCCCAUUAUCUAGGCGACAUUCAGGAAUAAAUUAUUUUAUGUGAGAUUUCCACAUGUAUCCUUAAAGUUUCGAAAUAAAUUUAGAAUUUUAGGGGUUUUGGAGUUUGAAUGAUUUUUCGGUGAUGGUACGGAGUUGUGUACCAAAUUUAGGAUUUAUGGAUUUGAAUUUUAAGGUUUCACAUUUUGGUUUGGAGAAACACAAACAUCUCUAAAAAUCUUCAACAUCUAGGCGAAUUUUUGAAGCAAGUUUGGUUUUUAUAAUUUCUGAAAAUUAAUUAAAUUUUUUCAUAUAUUUUUUUUAUGAAAAUUUAUCAUUAAUAAUAAUAUUAAUUUAUUUAAAAUUUUUUUAUAAUAAUUUUUCAACAUCUAGGCGGAAUUAUAUUUAUUUUGUUCAUAAUCAUUUUAUAAAAUUUUUAUAUUUUUUUUAAUUUUAAUUUUUUUUAUAAUUUCUCAACAUCUAGACGAAAUUAUAUUUUAAAAUUUUAGGUUUUUAUUCCCUCCAACAUCUAGGCAAGGAAAAAUAUUUUAUUCUUAUUAUAAAGUUUUUUUAUAAAAAAUAUUAUUAUUUUUUAAAGCAUUUUUUAGUUAUUAUCUUACUUUGUUUUUAUUUAUUAAUAUUAAAACAAUCAAAUAUUUAUUCUAAUAAAUUUAAAAAUUUUAUCAUGCAUAAAUAAUAAAAAAUACUCAAAAUAAUAAAAAUAAUAAUAUAUAAAAAAAUUUAAAAAUCUAAAAAAAAAAUUUUUUUUCCUGAACCAGACUAGUCAACGGUUUGAUCAACGAUAGUUUGAUUAGACCGAAAAAGGUUCGAUUUGGCACGUGGUUUGGUUGAGGCGGUUUAAAUCGGUUCAAAUUGGUUCACUGACAGUUCGUAUGGAUCUGCUAUAGGAUGGCUGAGGCAGGUUGGGGGGUCAAUUUGCACGUAUCUCGGGUUGGGUAAUGGGCACAUGCGAAUCUUUCUAUGCUCAAAAUGACGUCGUUUUGGGCUUUAGGCUUCUAUAUAUAUCUAAAAAAAAAUUUUUGUUCAUUCUUCUUCUGUUUUAAAAAAAAAAGGCAAAACCCUGGGGAGAGCUCUAGAGUUCUCCUGCCAUCCGGUCGUCGGAUCGUCGUGCUGACCGUCGCUUGGGUCAUCAUCAGCGAUGGUCACCGGUGAUCGAAAACUUUCAAAACUGACCAAGAGGUUUCGUUCAAUCUCCUGAGCUCAGAUCUAUCACCCGUUUCGUUUGAAAAUAACCUCGAUUGACGUAGAUGGAUGUUUGAAGUUUUCUGAUUCUUUUUUAAAAAAAAAAAAUAACCAACAGCUUCUUUUUUUUUAUUGCAGAUGGCUUGGCACUGGAUUUCUCCCUACGGGGAGGAUUGUUUGUUUUUGUUUUUGUUUCUGCUUUUCUGUUCGGGUGUUUGUAUAUGGAUGUUUUGUGUUUUUUUUUUUUUGGAAUGCAGGGUAUUUAUGUAUGGAUCCUAUAGUCUGGAAAUGGAGGAAGCUAGGGUCUUUAUAGAACUUGACAUAUGUUCGGAAAAGUGGUCUAAGGGUUGUAAAGGGUGGCAGUAGGGGUCUGUAGCGCAUAACUGUAGGGGUGACAAAGGUCAUAAGCGUAGCUAGUCUGAUGGGACUGGUUUGGUCUCUGGGGCCGGCAGCGUCACUAUUUUUUAUUUUUUUAUUUUUUUUGUUUGAUGAAUUUUUAAUAAUUAAUUGAUUUUUUUAAAAAAUUUUAAUUAAACCAAUUAUUAUUAUUAUUAUUAAAAUCAUUAUCGUUAUUAUUAAAAAAAAGUAGACCAGACAAAAUUGAUGUCUACAAAACUUAAUUAAGAUUUACUAAAAGAAGUUUAGAUUUACGAAUUAGAAUUGGGUCUAAGAGUACGAUUACAAGUAAGAAAGGUAUUAGCACCCUCAUGUCGCUCGUUCAAGGAACAUGACUGUCAUAACGUCUAGAUCCGGGGAUCUAUCGCUAGACAUUGACUUUAGGGAGUCGCCACCAAUCUUUUUUAUCUAGGUGUGAUUGGCCACCUAAGGAAUCUGUCCUUUUAGGGAACACCUAAGUUUAAGAGUCCCUAAAAGAAUAGGUUCAAGUCUACUAACCAGAACAGGGUUCGGGAGUUCGGUUACGUGUGAGGAAGGUUAUAGCACCCUCACAACGCCCAUCAAAAGAUGGUACCAACUUAAAUUUGUGUUAUCCAAAGAGCCUUAAAAUUUUACCAAGUAAUUAAUUAUUGAAAAUCAUUCUCAAUUGACUCUAAUACUUUUAGCAGAAAAUUGAGAAAAUUCCCUCACCUCAAGAGUAUGCAAGAAAAACUACUGUUUCACUUGCAGAGGCUCCGUCGUCGGAUUAUUUAAAGAAAAAUCAAAAAUCAAAAUCAGAAUAGAAGAAAAGAAGGAUUUUUUUUUGUUCAGGGAAAAUUGAUACUUUCAACUUUUUCCAAAAAAUAUUUUCUUGAAAUUUUAAUUUCGAGGAAAAUUGAUACUUUCAACUUUUCCUCAAAAAUUUAUUUUUUUGAAAAUUUAUUAGGGAAAAUUGAUACUUUCAACUUUUCCUCAAAGACUUUUUUUUUGAAAUUUUAUUUUUAAAGAAAAUUGAUAAUUUCAACUUUUCCCCAAAAAUAUUUUUUUUGGAAAAUUUGAUUUUUAUUUAAAGAAAAUAGAAUAAUAAAAAAGUGAAAAUAAAUAAAGAUAAAAAAUAAAGGAAAGUAAAACCAAAAUAAAGAUAAAAAGAAUAUUAAAUAAACCUAAUCUAAUAAAUAAAAAAUAAAAAAACAAAUAAAUGAAAAUAAAAAAAAACCUGGAGCGGCUCGGAUCGCGGCUCGACUCGGCUCGACUCAAGGAAGAGAAAACGGCUCGGAGAAGCGGCUCGGGAAGAACGGCUCGGCUCGGCUCGGCUCGGAGGGGGCUGGGCACGCGUGGGUCAGAAUCGGGUCGACGCUCGGGUCAGGUCGAUUUCGACAAAACGCGCGGAUCCUCUGAUUAACUUAAAGCCAAAACGACGUCGUUUUGGGAGGGUAUAAAAGGUAAUUCCCUCUAUUUUUCGACAGAACACUCCUCCCCUCUUUCUCUCUUCUUCCCUUUUUCUCUUCCUUCUCUCUAAAAGGACGAAGAACACCGGUAGAAUUUUCGCCGGAAUCUGGAAAAUGUCGUCGGAAUCUGGAAAAUUUCGUCGAAAGUUGCCGGAAUUUCACCGGUUUCUGGGAUUCGUUGCCGGAAACUGGGCUGGUGCCAGAAACUUCAAGGUUGGCCGGAAUGUUCACCGGAAAAUUCAAAUUUCGCCGGAAUUUUUCGCCGGAAUCUGGAAAUUUCCCAGAAAUUUCCAAAAAAUUUUUUCGCCAAAAAUUUCUAAAAAUUUUUUCUCACUCCCAGAACACUCCUAAACUUUUCUUAGCUUCCUAUACGCCUCCUUUUCUCUCAAAUCAGUAGCUUUGCUUACUGUUUUCUCUGUGUGUUUGCAUCUGUUCCAGGGGUCCUUUAUAUAGGGAUUGAUCAGGAGUUCCUGAUCAAUCUCAAUUCCUCCUUGGACGGGAAUUCAAUCUUUGAAUCCAACUGGACUCUUCUGAUUGAAUUUCCAUUCCCAGUGGGAUUCUUCAACUUCAAUCUCAGCCUUCCAAAAAUCAAAAUAAAAAAACAAAAUAGAUAAUUAGAAAAGAUAGGAUAAAAAGAAAAAAAAUAAUCAGAUAAUCAAAAAGAAUCAGAUAAAAUUAACAGAUAAUUUAAAAAAAUAAAAUAAGAUAAACCCAAAAAUAUAUUACCAGAAAAAAAUAAUAAAUAAUAAUAAUAAUAAUAAUAAUAUAAUAAUAAUAAUAAUGAAUAUAUAACUAUAUACAUAUAAAUCUAUUCUAAAUAAAAAUAAAUAAAUACAAAUAUACAAAAAAAAAUACAGGAUAAAAAUUCAAUUGGGCCUUACCCAUUUGGGCCAGGCCCAAUUGGGUGUCUACAAUGACCAAUUAAACAUAUGUAAUAUUUUAAUUUUGAUGAUGUGGCUUUUUUUAUAUAUUUAAAUUUAAUUUCCUAAAAUUUAUUUAUGAAAAACAUCUUUUGUUGUGAAAUUAAUAUUAUUAUUAUUUCAUAUUCUAUAAAUUCUCUAACGUUUUAAUGGAAUUUAUAGAAAAUCUUUAUUUAGAAAAUAUUUUAAAAAAAUUAACCAUUCACAAAAUUCUCAAAAUUUCAUUAUAAGAUAUUUUAUUUAUUUAUAAAAAAAGAUUUUAGAAACAUUUUGACUCUUUGGUGAGAUUUUAAAAUUUAUUAACAGAUUUUAAGAUUAUCCUAACUCUUCAAUGAAAUCUUAAAAAUUUUAAAUAAGUUUUAGGAUCAUCCCAACUUCCUGACAAGAUCUUAAAUAAAAUUAUUUUUUAUUAAAGAUAAUUAAAGGAUUUAAUUAAUUAAUUUUUAUUGUGAUUAUUUUUUAAUUUUUACUAUUAUUAUUUUUUUUUAUUAUUAUUAUUAUUAUUAAAAAAAUUUAUAUUAUCUUGACUCACUUAUGAAAUCUAAAAAUAUUAAUAUUUUAUUUGUAUUAAAGAAAAUCAAUUUUCUUUAAAAAUUACAAUUUUUUAGAAUAUUUAUUCAAAUAAUUCAUUAUCAUUAUGAUUUCUUAUAUUGUUUUUAUUAUUUUUUAUAUUGUUUAAAUAAACCUUUAUUCUAAUAAAAAUAAUUUUGGAUUAUUCUAACUCUAUGGUAAAAUUCAAAAAAUUAUUUUUACUUGCAAUAAUUAAAAGAAAUCGACCUCUUUCAGUUUUCUCUAAAAAUUACAUUUAAAAGAUUCAUUUAAACAAUUUAUCAUUUUUUUAUUUUUUAUCAAUUUUUUUAUUUUUAAAUUUUAAAUUUUUUAUUUUUAGCAAAAUUUAUUUUUAAAAAUUAUUUCAACAUUUUGGUGAAAUUUAAAUAAUAUUUUUGCUUGCAAUAAAAUUUUAUUUUCCUUAGAUAACUAUUAUUAAUAUUAAUUUUUUUAAAGAUUUAUGCAUAUUAUAUUUUUUAGGUCUAUAUUUUAUUUUAAUUAUUUUUUCAUUUUAUUUAUUUAUUUCUAAAAGAAUUAUUAUUAGUAAUAACAAAAAAAUAACAAUAAUAAUAAUAACAAUAAUAUCAUCAAAAUACAAACAAAUAACAUAAAAAUCAAACACAAAUAAAUAAAAUAAAAACAAAACAAAAAAAAAGGAAAAGGAAAAGCUACUAAACGGGUCGAGUCGGUGCGUGGAUCUUACACGGGUUGGGCACGGAUUAGAUGCCCAAAACAGCAUCAUUUUGUGAUGCCUAUAAAUGGGCCUUUUAAAAAAAAAUUUUUUUUUCCUUUCUUACUUUUCUCUUUAGAAAAGUCCUCCCCUUCACCAGCCACCAUGGAACCCAUUUUUUGAUCGGAUGCUGUCGUGCACCGGUGGAUGAAAACUUCAACCGAUGCUAAAAAGUUUAAAAUUUUCAGAUUCUGGCUAGAGCUUUUUUCUCUAGAAAAGUCCUCCUCCUUGCUAGCCACUGUGGAGCCCAUUUUUCAAUCGAUUAUUGCCAUGCACUGGUGGCCAAAAACUUCAACUGACGUUAAAAAGUUUAAAAUUUUUUAGAUUCUGGUGAUGUACCUAAAUUUUGAUAUCGAAAAGUUCAAUAAUUAUUAGAAAAUUCAAAUUUUUUCAGUUUCUAGUGACCUAAAAAAAUUUCAAAAAAAAUUUUAAAAAUUCUUAAAAUGAUCUUUUGAUUUUUUUUAAAACAUCUUUUUCUAAAAUAGUUUUUACAAAACAAAUUUUAAAAAGGCCUAGAUUGAAAUUUUUGUUUUGAAAAUUUUUUUUUGUUUCUGGAAAUUUUUUUUACUUUGCUGCUGGCUCUUUUUAUUGAAUGACUGUGUUGUUUUUUUUUUUGUUGCUUUUGUGUAUGUGUUUUCUUUAGCCCCCUGCCCUCUUUUUUUUUUUACAUUAUUCCCAUCGGUUCUCCUUUUAUUUUUUCUCUCUCUUAUUUUUGUUUCUUUUUUGUCUUUAUUUGUAAAAUCUUGGCUCUUUUUAUAGAGUUAAUUGGGAUAUUAAAAUCUCAGAAAAUCUAAGAUUUUAUGGACUUUUUGGGGAUUCGUGAAAAAAUUUGUUCGGUGACUUUAUGCUACAAGAUUAGGUUUUGAUGAAAGAGAAAAAUAAACCAUUUUGCCAGUUUGAUUUUAGCUGGGAGAGUUGAAACCAAUUUGUUUUUUACUUUUUUCUUUUUUUUGUUAAUUUUUUUGGGACAAAAUAAAUGUCCACAAUUGUUCCUUUUUAUACAUUUCUGAAAAUUAAGAAUAUGGCAAAGAUAAAAGGACACCAAUUUUGUUUGGGCAAACACACAUAAAAGAUGAAACAUUGAACACAAAGUUUUUUUUUUUUUAAAGAAAAUUUGAAAGGCUUCUCUAAACAGAGGCUUGAAAAUUUUUUAAAAUUUAAAAAGGCUCCUCUAACCAGAGGCUAUAAAACUUUAAAUUGAAAAAGCUCUUUUAACCAUAAACAACAAAACUUUAAAUUCAAAAGGCUCUUCUAACCAGAAGCUAUGAAACUUUAAAAUUUAAGGCUUCUCUGUCCUAGAGGCUAUGAAACUUUAAAUGGCUCAUUUGACCAAAGACAAUGAAACUUUAAAUUGAAAUCUAAGAGGACUUAUAAAUUAUGCCUUUGGUCUUACAAAUUAUGCCUAAUUUUGAUGGAGUCCUUUAACCAAAGACUUUUAAAAUUACAAAACUUCUAUGACCAGAGGCUAUUAAAUUUUAAAAUUUAAUGCUCGUUUAACCAGAGGCAGUGAAACUUAUAAUUCAAGAAAAAGCUCAUCUGACUAGAGGCGAUAAAACAUUAAAUUUAAAAGGCUCUUCUAACCAAAGGUAAUGAAACUUUAAAUUCAAAAAGCUCAUUUAACUAAAGGUAAUAAAACUUUAAAUUGCUCAUCGGACCAGAGGUAAUGAAACUUUAAAUGAAAAAAAAAUACUGAGAGGCAAUGGUAUUUGAAAAAUUCCUCUAAACAGAGUGCUUACAUCUUUUCUACUCUUAACUUUUCUUUUGCUGGUCUUGGAUUGUCCUAGACUCAUAUAUUUAUUAUGUUAUGUGUGUGCAUGAAUGACAUUUUCAUAUUUUUGCAAUGUUAUGUAAUGAAUGACGAUCAUGAUGCAAAUGCACUUAUGAUGCAAAUGAAGAGACCAUUUUUUUCUCUUUUUUGUCAUUUUCUUUUAAUCCUUAAAAUUUUUCAAUGUUUGUUUCCUUUCUUCUUCUCUUGAAUCCCAUGCAUUCCAAUAGUUGCUUAAGAUUUCUCUCCACAUUUUUCAUAUUCAAUGUCUACCACUUUUAUGACUUAUAUGUCUCCUUUCUUAUUAACAUUUGUUCUUUAUUAUUUUGCUUAUAAUUUUAAAUCUCCUUCAAAAUAAUGUGUGUGUCUUUCAUGAUCGUUGUCACACAUUUAUCAUAUUUAAAAUUUUAUGACAAUACAUUGUACAUUUUCCUUUUAAUGAGAGAGACGAAAUGAAGGAUAAACAAAGGCGUAUUUUAUUUCAGUAAGAGGGAGAAGUGUUUUAUGCAUUAUUUAAAGGGAUAUAACAAGAACAAUAGAUUUUAUGCAUUAUCCAAAGGGAUAUAACAAAGAAAAUAGAUAAUCACAUUACGAAUAUUGAAAUCAUCGUGAGCUAAUUCAUCUUGGAUUUUUUUUUAAACUUUUGAUUGGUGCCUUUUGAUUUUUUUCAAAAAUGCAGUAGACCAAGCUAACCCAAAACUAAUGAGAUCUUUUGGCACAUAUUGAGAAUUGGCCCAUCCCAUUUAAUGUUUUUUUUUAUUUAAGUCACAUUUUCAGGUUUUCAACUAAGAUAUCUUUUCAGUUCAUUUUACCUUUUCGCUUUUUUUUUUUAGCAUAGUACUUCUUUACUGCAUCAAUAUUGACUGAAUUUGGUAAAUCAUCCCCAUCCAUUCUUGCUAAGAUUAGUGCCUUAUCAGAGAAGGCACAUUUUUUAGUUAGAUAACUCCUUAUGUUCUGUCUCAGUGGCUUAGGCCAUCUAAGAGUGGGAUUUUUUUUAAUUUGCAUCAAAAUCCUCUCACACGAGGUAUUCAGUGUAAUGUAACUUUUUUCCCCACUAGGGUUUCUAGCUUUAUGUGGUCUUUCUCUUGGAGGAGGAUCAUAGAAAUCUUUACCUUUCUUAUCACCAAAAAGGGGGGAUGAACCUCUCUCACCUUGAUCUUCGAGGAGGAGAGAUGAGCCUCUUUCAUCUUGGUUAGUUUUCAUUGUAAUUUUAGUAUUAAUGUAUUUCUCCACUAUCAGUAAGACAUAGACCAAAGUUUUAGGUGGUUCUAACGACAAUUUUAGUUUUAGGUAGUACUUUUUAUUGUUGAGUCCACUUGUUAAGGUUGCAAUAGUGGCUGUCUGUUCUAGGUCUUUAACCUAUAAAUCUUCCAUGUUAAAACGCAUGACAUAGCUUUUCAAAGUUUCAUUCCAUCCUUGGUGGAUUGACAUCAAGCUUAAAGUCAUCUUCUUUGCUUUUCAGCUACUCACAAAUCUAGAUAGAAAUAAGUGAUUGAGCUUCUUGAACAUAGUAAUUGACCUUGGCUCCAAGCUACUAUACCAGGAUCAAGCUGUGCCCUUUAAUUUAGUGGCUAGACCUUUAUACAUUAGAGCCUCGUUUGCCUUCUACAUCAUCAUGUUAGUUCUAUAGAGUUCUAAAUGAUCAAAGGGGUAGAAGUGCCAUUGUAUGUUUCCAAGAUUGGUAUUUUAAAUCUUUUGGGAGGUAUGGCUCUGUCAAUUUCUUUAAUAAAAGGCAAUGUCUGCAAGAGCUUAGCUCAUCCUCGAAUGCCACUAUUUUCGUUUUCAAUUCUUUUUCCAUGGCUUGCAUCCGAGCUUCCAAAUCUCUAUUCGAUUGAAAUUCAUGGUUUAUUUGUUUAGAUUUUUAGGUUGUGGCAUGUGUUAAAUUGUGGCUGGGGUAGUGGUGAGUCGGGUUUAUGUAUUCUUCUUUUUUGGAGGCCGAAAAGGCCUCCGCCUCUUUGUAGCUCGGUUGUCCGAUAAUGACUUCUUGGCUAAGUGUAAUAAAGUCCUACACUUUCGAAACUUGGGAUAGGGUUAUAAUUUGUAGCAUCUGCUUGAGAACCAAUAUUUGUUCUGUUAGAACUUAAAAUUGUUCCAUGGUUGGGCCUACCUAUAGUUAGGCUAGGCAGACAAAAUGCUGGUUAAGGUGAGUUUUUGUUCCAGUCGGGGCAGUUACCUCUCCUUCCUCUAGGAUUCUCUUCCUUAGUGGCAAUGUUUUAUGCUCAUCUAACAUAAAGGAGUUCUCCUACUUGGCAUGCCAAAUGUUGGUGUUGAGCUCCGACCUAGGGGUAUUCCUAAAAAUGCAAAAAAGAAGGACGGUUAGAAGCAAAGGUAGGGUUUAUUGCCUGUGUUUGCACUCCGAUGUGCAAAUUAAUAAGAAUUAGGUCAACAAGAAAGUAGGAAGAAAAAAAAGAGGUGAAUGGAAUGAACCUACCUUAGCAGUGCCUGGAUUUUUAUAUUUAUAGGUAAGCUAUGGGGAACUAUGAGGAGACAAUAAAGACAGACUGAAUUAAGGUGGUACUGAUAAUGUUAGAACGACAUGAGAUGUCAGGUUAGCACAAAUGACAUAGAUACAUCUAGUUGUCUGUUGAAGACUUUGAGAGAGAAAAAAUCCAUUAUACCCUUUUGGCUGUCAAAUGACCCUAACAAAAUUCCAACUAAUGACUGAAGAUUCUCCCGAUUCAAGUCAAUCUGCUACACAGAAUCCCCACAAGCAGAGGUGCCUAUUUAUGCCAACAGCCAAAAAUUGUCAAUUGUCAGUGUCUUCAAGGCCAUGACUGGCACAACACUUUUGAGUUAUGAAAGCUAUGGUAACAAGUCUGCUCAAGUUUUCACCACCAACCCAACGGUUAUAGGACAAGCAUGUGUCAGUACCCAUAUUGAUCAUUCAAUGUAGUUCUCCCAUCACCAGAUUGCCCUGCAAGGAACAUGAAAAAAUUGUAAUAAAAUCAGUGAUAAUCCAAUGAAUGAAAUCCAGUCCAUUCAGCAGUACGCAUUACAGAUGCUACAGUUAUACCCAAAUUUCAGGUUCAGUUGACACUAAGCAAUAAUUAAAGGAGUACCUUCAGGAGGAACCCAUGAUUCAUAUUCUGGAUCAAGAUUGCUAUUAUGGAAUGAAGGCUUCUCAGGUCCAAGCACUCGUUUUUUGUUUUCUCUUUCUUCUUAGAUUGAUUUCUGGCCAAUAUUUCAGGGGUUUCAUACAAUUCCUCAUGCUUUGCAUGGUACCCUCAAGUGUGCUUCAGUAACAGUGCCACAGCAUUCAGUGCCGAUUUCUUCAGCUCCUGUAGAGGAUACUGUAGAUUGGUCAGAGGAUUUGUCAUCACUUUCAGGGUUCUGAACCUGCUUCUGUUUCCUUAUAAUAAGACCCGAGGCAGUAGUUUCAAUUCCUGAGUGCCCUUUAACCUGUUGAUCAUCAACACUCCCAAGAACUUUCUUCCUAUCUUUGUAAUCAACAAAUUCGUCAACUUUAUGUGUAUCUACUUCUACUACUUGCUGUGACUCUUUAAUCUCCUUGUUCUCAACUGCAGAAAGCCGCUGGGCCUUUGCAACAGUAUAGAUUGCCUUUUUACCCUCAGCUGUAUCAUUAAUAAUAUUCUCUUCUGGUUUCUCGAUUGAUUUCAUAAAGACAUCUGCAACUCCCUCUUUCUGCGUGGAAGAAUUUGCUGGUUCUGUAGAUGUACUGAUUUUUUUGGGUUCCUUUGGAGGCUGCUUCUUUACAGCAGCAGCAGGAGCUCUAGAUUUGUGAGGUCCUGGUGCUGGUGUUUGUGCCUUUGUAUCACUUUUCUUAGCAGCUUCUCCUGUUGGAUCAGCAAUCUUCGACAGGCAGAAGAUCCGGUCCAACUCCGACUGAAGGGCAGACGGUUCCUUCUCAAGUUGCACUGUCCGAUCAAGCACGGACAAAGAAAGAUAGGAAAUCAGACACUUUUGCUACUUGCAUUUCAGUAUUUACUUUUUGCGUUUUUAGAUGGUGAGAAAGUAAACACAAUAGAAAAAUAGAUGACCAUAUUUAAAAAUGAGAAAAUAGCUUAAAUGUAACAAAUAUCCACACACAGUGGCUGUAUAGCAUAGAGAAGUAAAUAUUGAAAUUCUUCAUUUUUAUCAUGCCUAAAACUCAAAUGCUUAUUUAUUAAUUAUUGAAAAAUAUUUUUGCAUUUGUAAGCUAAGGCUACUUUUUGUGUUUUGCGUUCAAAGGAAAAAGUAAGUAGCAAAAGGUUGCAACUAAAAGAACCUAAGAAAAAGAAAAGAAAGAAAUAUAGGAAUACAUAUAAAAGCUAAUGUUAACAAACUGGGAAGAAACUUGAAGAAAAACCAGAGUACCAUAAUAUAGUAAAACAAGUAGUCUAUGAUUUGGAAAUCAGCAAUGAGUUAAAUGUUUGGGACAUCAGCACUCUACAUCUUUUAUUUGCAGAACUUUUGGGAAUAUAUUUUUUUAAUAUAAAAAUGUCUCACCUAGCUGGGACGAAAGCCCAGACAUGUAAGCAUCAAGUGCAUCUCCAGCUUCACUUUCUAUUGCAGUUUCUGAUGCCAUUUUAUCUUCUCAGUCAACAGCAACUCUUUCUCGCCUUCAAUUUCUUUCAUAAUGGCAUCUCUCUUAUCAAGAAGACUAUCAGCAGUUUCAAUUGACUGGGUUUCACCAAUUUUCUACACGGUAGGUUUCUUCUUUGUCCGGUCGUAGAAUUCAUCAUCAUCACUGAAGAUUCACAAAUCAUUAUGCGCAUUAACUAUUAAUCUGGUUUCAUAAGACAACUAAAAAUAAACCAGAUGCAUAUCCAUACCAUAUACUUAUAAAAUAGAAUGAUGAGAGAGUGAUCAGAAAUAAAAUGUGAAAGAAAAGCAUAAAGGAAAAUUUGCUAGAUUCUAAGUUGAAAACAUUUCCUCUUCUUUUGUUUUAUUUUUUUUUUUUCUAAAUUACCAAUAUUUAAAAGUGAUGACAAACUGAAUCUAAGGGUGACUUACCAAAGCUUUGGAACUGAAUUGCGUGGACUUUAAAUAAGAUCAGAAAGCAAGAUAUGUUUAAGAACUGGCACUUCCUCAAAAGAAACGAAAGCAUUUCAGUCUUUCAGGCUCUGGUUCUUCCUCCUCAUCAGAGCUAAAUCUACUUUUGUGCCUAGUUCUCAUUGUAGUCGUAGGGUCAUCAAGGCCUUCCUCAUCAUUAGCAUUUUUUUCCAUCAUUGAUCCUUCGAAAUCUCUUUCUUUGACAUCACAUUUCAAGGAAAGCCAACUUGGAUCAAUUGCAAAGCUAAAACUACUUUUGUCCUAGUUCUCGUUGUAGUCGCAGGGUCAUCAGGGCCUUCCUCAUCAUUACAUUCUUUCCAUCCUUGAUCCUUCGAAAUCUCUUUUUUUGACAUCACAUUUCAAGGAGAGCCAAUUUGGAUCAAUUGCAGAUUUAGGUUCCAUCAUGGCAGCACCACAUCUGUUCUCUUCGUCUUUAGUGAAUGAUAAAGUAGCAUGACAACUUGAUUCCAAAAUCUCAAUGGUUGGAUCCACUGCCUCUUCACCCUCAGAACUGUAAUUUGUGCUAGAUUCAUCAACACUGUAAGGAUCCAUCAUGGAAGCACCACAUCUGUUCUCUUCAUCUUUGGUGAAUAAUUAUGUAGCAUGACAACUUGAUUCCAAUAUCUCAAUGGUUUGGAUCCACUGCCUCUUCACCAUCAGAACUGUAAUUUGCGCUAGAUUCAUCAACACUGUAAUUUGUGCUGGAUUCAUCAGCACUUUAACUUGUGCUGGAUUCAUCAGCACUGUAACUUGUGCUGGAUUCAAACUCUUCGUCAUUAGAUCUAACAGUAUCCAUAUAUAAUACAUUAACACCACAUUUUGCACUUUGAAAUGCUUAAUAUUGGAAACCAAAUCCGUAGCUUCAACGUAGAUUUCAAUGGAGGCCACCUCAAAAUGCUUGUUUAUGGAUGUUUUAUUGAUUCCACGUCCGAAACCAUCAAAUAAAAAGGAUCACAUGAUUGGAAUCAAAGCUUAUGUCUCGAUGCAAAGGGUUUAUUGAAUUCCAGCGAUAAGCAAAAUCGUGAUGAUCACCACACUUGGUUUUUAAUUGACAUUUGCAAUUGACACUGAUAUCGAAGAAUUCAAGAUGGUGCUCAAAAUCAACCACAAAGCAUAGAAUAAAGCCCAAGAAUCUUUUAUUAGAACAAUCUGGAACCAACUUGACAGUUAUUGAAGAAUUUGUACUCCGAUUCUUGAAUGUCUCUGAAAUUUCACUUCCAGGUAAACAAGAAAAGAAACUUUUAUCAUAAAAAUGAUCAGUACCUUCAGAAGAUUCCAUCGCAAAUACCUGUGCCAUAUAUUGAGCUUUAAGCUGUGCAUUAGCCAUAAUGUUGUUGAUUGCACCCGGUCCAGAUUGAAGCAAUUAUUGAAUACAAAGCAAUGGCCAUACAUAAAAUAAUACUCGAACAAAGAUUUCUUAGCUUUCAUAUAUCGCAAAUGUUCCAACUUGGAAACUGUCACUAAAGAGCACAGUUUCCUGCAUCUAAAACUUCUAAAUGUGGUGGAAGUCUGGCAAUGAUUUGAGUCUCUUGCAGUAUCUAAAACGUAGAUGAAUUAAUUUAGGAAGUUGUUUGAUACUCUUAGGAAUUUCCACGAUAUCUGAUCCAGAUAGAUCCAAGGCUUCCAAAAAUAUCAACCCAAAUAUAUUCGAGCAACGUAACGCUUUUACGGUUGUUUCCAUUGUCUCUAAUUUCUGGGAAACACUCCAAGUUUUAACAGCCAUUGAGAUUAAGUAGUUCAAGAGAUUUUAACUUACAAAUGCUGGUUAGAAGGCUUUUAAGCGUUGUGCAGCCUUUCAUUCUCCAAACGGAAAGCCUUGUAAGCCUUGAGAUUGAUGAAGGCACUUCUUCCAUUGGAGUGUUAUCCAGAUGUAAGCAUUUUAUGUUCUUCAGAACAACCGGCAAUAUUUGUGAUGUUUGGGCAAUCACAGAGGGAGAUUUGUUCAAGGGCAUGCAACUGAAUAAUAGUGCUUGGAAGAUCAUGAAUUCGGCUAUCACUCACAUCCAAAUCAGCAAGUUGAUUGAGAAAUCCGAUUGAUGAGGGUAUUUCUUCUAUUUGAUUCUUGCACGACAGCAAUCUUUCUAAGUUUCUGGGAACUUCUGGGAAUAGGUCGAUGGAGCAACCUUCGAGAUGGAAAAUUUUAAGAGAUUUCAACUUAAAGAUAUUCUUUGAAACAGUUUUAAUCCUUGAGGGGAACAAGCCUUACUCCAUAAGUUGGUGGAAGCACCCGAUUGAGUCGGGAAUUUCUUCCAUCGCAGUGUUUCUGAAUCUCAAAUUUUGAAUAUGCUGUGGAAGCUCAGGAAAUUUCUUCAAAUUUGUUAAACCCUCAAAUAAUAGGUAAACGUUAAGAGAUAUCAAAUGAAUCAUGGAUAGGAGUUCAACCAUGCUUUCGCAUCCAUUGAUUUUCUGUUGUUCAAUAUUUAUGGCCGCUGACAAAUUUGGGAUGCUGGUUAAAUUCUCGCAAUAAGAAAGGUCAAGCACGCUUAAAUUCGCAAGAUUCUGUGCAAUGAAGGCGAAGAAACAAUAUGAGAUUGGUUUAAACUUUAAAGCCUCUGAACUUAAAAUUGAAAAAUGUGUUGGGGUUCCGUUUAGUGGGGUACAGAGUGACAAAAGAAAGACAAGCAACGCGGAAUGGUAGAAUAAAGGAGUAAAGCAAAUUGUAAAGUGACAAAAGAAGAGGCAGGAGUCAUGGUGCCUCGAAACCAGAAGGAGCUUCAAAAAGUGACUUAAGAUUGCCUCAAAAUCUUAGUCCAGAUACAAGUAUGAAGAAAACGAUCAAUAAAACUUCGGUGGUAUCACGGCCUUUUCUAAUAUCAGCCAUUCCCUUGACUCUCUGUUUUGUAAUCUGCUUUCCUUCGAACAAUCACUUGCAUCUUCAUUCCCUUCGUGGCAGCAAAUUGAGAAAGUUAAAGCUAACCUCCAGGCUGUGACCAACUUUACAAAUUUGUUCACAAGGUCUGCGAUCAGGUAUUAAAACUCUAGAGAAUAAUAUAAUAUGAACAAACACAGUUUCUUCCAGUACUUGCAGGAAAUGCCGAAUCAAAUUGUUUGGUUUUCCGUCCUCGCUACGCAAUCGGUUAGUAGAAUGGUGGACUCUUAUUCCAUUAACUUAGUUCAAUCCCGAACAACCUUAAUUAUAAAAAGAAAAAAAGUUGUUGGUUUUCCUACUACAAAUGUUAAACCAAGGAUCUCCUCUAUUAGUAAUGGAUAUAUUCACACUUUACCCGACUUUUUUUUCAUUAUACAUUUCAUUGUUUCAACUCCUUUUUGUAACUGUCUUUUCCAUGGGUGAAUGGCGAAAGACAUAAUGGAUGUAAACAAGAUAUAGGCACCGCAAGUCGUUUCCUCGAUACUAAACAUGCUGCAUUAGUUGGCUUUCUUUUCUUAUUUUAGUUUAACUCUUCCUAUUCUUAAUGUUCGUGUUUGUUUUUCUUUCUACCACAUAAAAGUUAAACGAAACAACAUAAACUUCCAGUAUUGCAUAAUUAUAGAAGCAAAAUAUUGGACCAUCCGGCAAUAGCACCCCGCAGCAGGGUAUGUCAAUUCUCUCUACCUUGAUGACAUCAAAACAGAUAUCAAGUCAUAUUCAUGUUAAACUCUGUCAUUUAGGAAAAGGUAGGCAUUCUAAUGUGACAAAACCAAAUUGUAUUUGUCACAACCUCGACUUUAAAUCCAAAAGAAAAAUAUUUGCUGAGAACUUUUUCUGCUGGUGACAAACAAGAUAAUGGAAACACCCAUAUUUUCAAGUUCAACAGUAUCAGAUCAGACCAUUCUUUUGCCUUCCCAAGUGGUUUUAGUGGGUAUCAACUAAUUAACACCUAUAUCAAGAUAAAGCAAAACCAAUCUCACACAAGUACGUAAAUAAACGUUUAAGGAGGAUCAAUUGAAGGUUUACCUGGCUGACGUGAAUGCAGUAAUCAAACUUCAUCAUAGAAAUCAGAAAUCAACUAGUACCUAGGAAAUACGGGAAAACAUCAAUUAACAACAUAACACCAACAAAACCGAAAAUUUUACACAAUUUAUUUUACUUUCAGGGAAAAUAUAAAAUAGAAACUAAUGGAUUAAGAGAACUAACAUCUCCUGGAAAUCAACCUUGGUCUCGUUAAUUAGAUGCAUAAAGCAGAAAUUUGAUAAAUAGAAAUGAAAAAGCUUCAUUCUUUUUCGCUCUUGUUCAACCUCAUCAUCAAAACAGAAACUUUCACUGCUCUAAGGUAUUCUUGUGAUAGUGGGAUUAUCAUGGCCAUUGUCAAAAUUGACACCUUCUUGAUGUAUUAAUCUGCCAAAAUUUAGAUUCCUAAAACUUCCUUUUAUUGAGAGCCAAUUUGAAUGAAUUGGAGAGUUUGGCUGGCAUUUUAUCAUUUUAGGAUUGCAUCUGUCCUCAUCAUCUUGAGUACAUGGCAGGCAAGCAGAAAUUCCAUAACUUGUUUCCAAAAACUGAAGAGGUGGUUUCCCCUCCUCUUCACUAGAGCGGAAAUUUUUGUUGGAUUCAACAUUGCAGUCAGCAUAACACUCAGCAUCCACAUAAAAUACAUGUACACCACAUUUCUCCACCUUGAUAUUGUGAUCUACACGCCUUCCAUCAUCUUUAGCUCUGAUGUAGAAUUCAAACGAGGCCUCCUCAUAGUGCUUGUCUUUUUGAAACAUAUUCUUGUCAAACCAAAUGAUCAUGUUAUUGGACUCAAAAAAAUAUGGGCUUAUCACAAUACAUAGGUGAAGUCCAUCUACUUCUAAAAUUAUGACAAUCACCGCAUUUGGUUUUUAGCUAAAUUUCGCAAACAAUUCGAACACCAAUGUCUUCGUAAUUGAUCUAGAAAUCAACCACAACAGAUGGAACAAAACACAAGAAUCUCUCACUUUGCCAAUCUGGACACAGCUUGAUAGUUAUUGAAGAAUCCAUGCUUCGGUACUCAAAUCUUUCUGAAAUUUCACUACAGGCAACAACUCUAUCAAGAAUAUUAUCGGGUACUAUUUCAUGAAAUCCCCUCGACCUUUCUUUCACCCAUUCCUCUACCAUGCCCCGGAGUCUAAGAUGUGCAUUGGCCACUAUUUUGUCAACUACACCUUGAUCCAAAUCAAAGCAAUUACUGAAUAACAUGUGUACUAGGCAAGAAUUCUCCCAAAACCGUCUUCUGCCCAACACCAGUUCUAAUGAAGUACAGUCAUGUGCAUUUAGGUUUCGUAGACGUGGUGGAAGCUCAGGCAAUAUUAUAUUAUAAGGUUCUUGCAACAUUUUAAGUAAAAGAGAAAUUAGAUUGGGAAGUUGUUGCAUGCUUAUGGGAGUUUUCACUAUAUUUGACCCACUCAGAUCUAGAGUCGUCAAAACAUCAAAUUUGCUAAAGCUACCGCUAAGGAUGACACCCAGAAGAUUCAAGUUUCUACUGUACCUCACACGAAUUAUGUGGUCAUUCAAGAUGGGUGUGACUUUUAUAUUUAAUCUUUUCGAACAAGCAAGCUUUGUUAGACAUUGCAUAGUCUCCACGAUUGCUGGGAAAGUAUCUAAAUUUGAACAGCCUAGGCGACUAAGUUGUCGAAGACAUUUCAGCUUGCAAAUACAUGUUGGAAAGCUUUUAAUCCUUGUACAGUCAUUCACACUCAACAUGGACAGGCUUUCAAGCCUAGCAAUUGAUGAGGGCACUUCUUCUAUUGCUGUGUCGUGCGGUAAUAAGAUUUCUUUGUUGCUCGAAACAUUUGGAAACUGGGUGAUGUUUGGGCAAUGACGGAGAUGGAUUGCUUUUAGGAAAUCCAUAUUUACAUGGAUGAUUUUCAAUUCUUGUGCCACUCAUAUCUAAAAAAACAAAUUCUCUGAGACAACCGAUUGAUGAAGGCACCUCUUCGAUUUGAAUAUUGCUCAAAAUUAAGUCUUUUAUGUUCUCUGAAACAUUUGGAAAACGAGUGAUGUUUGGGCAAUGAGAGAGACAGAUUUUUCUAAAAGGGAAUUCAUCUUAACAACAGUACUAGGAAGAUUUUUAAUUCGUGUGUAGCUCAUUGGUAAAGAAGCAAGUUCUCUGAGACACUCAAUUGAUGAAGGCACUUCUUCUAUUUCAGUCCCACUCAAGUUUAAUGUCUUUAAGGUUCUAGGAAUUCUGGAAAUAUUGUGAUUGGGCAGUCACUAAGACAGAGAUUUCAAGAAAUUUCAAAUGAACAAUGCAUUGAAGCUCAACCGAGCUUAUGCACCCACCAACCUCCAAUUCUUCAAUGUUUAUGGAUCUUGACAGAUCUGGGAUCUUUGUUAAAUUCUUGCAAUUUCGGAGGUCAAUCACUCUUAAAUUCACAAAAUUCUGUAGGAUGAAAAUAAAAACUAACUACAUUAAUUUCAAGUCUGUAAUUAAAUUUAGAGUUUUAUUCAAAAUGGAAAAAAAAAAAAAAAAGGAAACGAAAUAUGUUUUCUUUUUGGAUGAGCACAUUAUUAGAGUAUAUAUGCCUGAUCUUUAGGCCAAAGUUAGUUACUAUUCGGUAAUCUUAAUUCCACAAGCUUCUCUGGACUAAAAUUUGAUGGCAAAGAUUUCAAUGGGCAAUACUCCUACAGAAAAUAACUGAGCUCACCUAGAAGAGAUUUAAGAUCCUGCUAUGAAAGCAGUGAUUUACCUUAAAAAUAGUUUCGGGGAAGACACAGAAGAACUUAAAAGUAGUUAAAAUUCAUGAUGAACCGUAAUGAGUAAGACCCAGAAAGGACAGGUUUGUCGAGAACUCGUAGUGCCUUGAAGUCUCAGUUCAAGCACAGGCAUAAAGCAAAGAAUCUCAAAGAAAAAUUGAAGCUCUGUAAAGGCUUGGUCAUCCCUCCUAUUACUGCAAAAACUUAAAUUUCAUCCUGGUUUCAUUUGAGUAGAAGGGUCACCAUGGUCUUUUCCAAUAAUCAGCUAUCUCAUUCAAUCAUUGAUUCACCAACAUCGGGAAAAUGGCAUCCUCAUUGUCCUUGCUUCUAAUUUCUAAAUGGCUGCUCCUUUUCGGACCUCAUCGGGGCUAAAACUUCCAUUGCAGUCAUUAUAUACUGAUGUUCACGAUUGUCUUUCUCAGUGCAAGCAUCUUUGAAAAAAAGCAAUGACGAACUCAGCUUCAAGGUGAGCCUAGUCGAAUUGCGAGGAAAGCUGGGCUGGAUCUUGUUAGGAUUGCAUUUGAUCUCUUUACCUCUGCUUUAGCUGCAUAGCAAGAUGCAAUAAAACAACAUCGUAUAUUAUCUUUAAUUGAAAAAUGCUCAUUCAGUGUUGGUCGAAAAUGGGCACCAAUGCAAGUGAAACCAUUAACUAAUGUAAUGAAAAUCUGCUUAAACAAUUUCUACUCAACAUAGUUGUAGUUUGUAAAAUAAAAAUACUAGUAAUUCAAUAUGCAGAAUCACUUGCAAUGAAAAUUCUGACAUCAGAUGCUAGUUAGCCAUCUGAGUUUGAUUAGGUUCUCGUAACAAUUUAUACUCGCAAAAUGCUAAUUAUCAAUUUAAUAAUUAUAUAACUACUAUUCUUAGAAAAUGAAGAUGCUGUAACAAAGGCUGGUAAUUUCCUAAGUGGAGUCAGCAUAAGAAGUACUAAAUCUCUAUGCCAUCAGAUCACAUUAUUUUAAACGUAGCUAGUUAAGAAUGUAGUAAGUACUCAAGCUCUCAUUGUUUGAUUUAUAAAUAUCCAUUGCAAUAAUGAGAGUCUACCUCAAAUCAUCAGCUUUGGUAUGCAGGUCCUUGCCCUUUGAAUCAUCACUGCCCCUGAAAAUCCUCUUUACACAGUCAAGCUCCUUUGUUAGUGUUUCCGGACCCCCAGUCCUUUGCACAGCAUAAAAACACAUCCUUAAUAAACCCAAGCGUUGCUGAAGCAUGACCACAUCCCAUGAAGUGAAAUUGCAUUCCUGUCGUACCAGAUGGCCCCUUUAGCUAUGACUUGGCUUGACAAGAUUCCUCUGCAUACCACAAGCGGCAUAGUACCAAUAGGAACAACCAACCCAACUGCUAGUAUUGUUAGCACAAUUAAAAUUCAGUGCAUUUUCCAUAUUUAAUUAAACCAACUACAUUAGAAUUAGUUUCAGUCUGCAUUUGCCAUAUCCAACUAAACCUAGUCCAAACAGUUGGCCACCUUCAACAAGGCAUCAAAUUAAUGUGCUUACACAAUCAAGUAAUGUGUGGCCUUAAAAGUAGCCCAAACCGUAGAAUU